rnacentral:lncRNA from 1 species
CAUAGAUGCAUGUGAUUCUUAGAAAGUAAACGAUGGAUUAGGUUUAGCAUUAUAUAGCCAAGGGAACCAAGGCAGGCAUAUAUCAUUAGGCAAAUAAUACAAGAAAUGGUAGAUGUUUUACGACAUAUACUGUUGUACGUACUUGUGCGGCUGCCUCCGAGCCUCUAUUUCUCUUUAUCAGUCUAAUUGUAUGUAUGAAACAUUUCCCGACGAACUAAGAGUUCACAAAUUUACAAAUUAAACAUUAAUUCCUUCAUUAUUGUUAACUUUCAUCGUUAAUUUUUUUCCUUCUUCUUAUUGUAACAAAAACUAAAUUAGUGAAAAUGAUUGAACUCCUAAUCAAGUUAACAUUAUCUCACACGAGUAUGGUACGACAAACAAAUAAUCAACUGACAAGAGGCCUUCUUCAACUUCGUGAAUGCAUGUGUUCUGUAGGCAUUCCUCAAUGAAAAGCUGAUAGCAAGCUAAUGCAAAGUCGUAAAGAACGAGCUAGUACUAUGAAUUAUUAGGGUUUACGAGAGUACGAUUGGGAUAAGUCAUGUUUAGAAGAUAAAAAGAAAGCUAGGUACCCGAUAUGUGCAUGCACUGGCAUGGUUCAGUCGAAGUUGCCGGCCACGCGAGCAGCCGGCUCUCCUUUUACGCAGUUGGUUCUUACGAUUCCAUACCCGGCCAGCCAGCUGAUCGAGCCCGCAGAGAGAGAGAGAGAGAGACGCAAGAGUCGGCCAGUCAAAAGAGGCGAGCCCUUCGUCGGACCUCUGUUCUGUGCCUUCCCCACCCACCAUGCCUUAUGGAGCCCCUUUCCUUUGGUUAAACUACAAUCUUCAUUUUUAAAUCUGGACCAUCCCAAACACACACAUUUUCACAGAAACAAAAGCAUGUGAGGUCAAUUAGUUUGACAAUAAUCGCAUACGUACCACUAGGCAUCACUCUCAUCCUUCUGUUUAUAUAUGCAUACUUUCAUGGGGCACUUUUCCCUUUUCUUUUUUUGGUUACAAAAAAUGGUAGUCGAGUGAGCUACCACUCGGGUUCGGCAGCUUUUCUCUUUUCCUCAGUUCUCUUCUUCAUGGGUUAGGAAAAGCUGAAAUACGAUAAAAUGUCAGGAUGCCAGUUUUAAAACCCCACUCAACCAUCAGGUACUUAAAAGGGGGAUUUGUAAAUUCUUAAUCAAGAAUUAAUCUGUGUCUAGGGCCAUGGCUUAUCAAACAAUGUGAUCGACACAAACUAUGAAUUAUUGAAACUUAGGUACUAUUCCUCGGAGCUAUCUUGAACUUACAUAACCCUGACAUAUGAAACAAUAUGUUUGAUUAUGAACUUUCUUAUUUUUCAAACAAUGUUUGAAGGCAUGACUAGAAACCCGAAAAUUUUUGUACGCACCAAGUUGCAAGUGAACCAAUCAACUAAUAUGCAAUUUUCAUAUUUUAUUUGAUCCAACCAUCCACAUGACAGUAUCAUAUAUACAUACAUAUGAACACCGUUAUCAAAAUUGAAACCGAAAAAACUAGGCCAAGUGUCUCGAUCGAACACAUUAAGUGAGGCCAAGGUCGAAUAAUAUGUUUUCGUAUUAAAAGCGCAUAAUCUAACCGAAUCUGAAAUUAAAAGGUCAGAUGAAGGAACUGAGGGUUUCUAGUCUUCAUUUUAUGUUCAUAGCUCAACCAUUAUGGUCGGUGCAAGUGUAUCUUGGUGUGUGAAAUCAGUUCCAUACACACACACACACAUAUAUAUAUAUAUACAUGUAUAUAUACAGUUUCUUUCAAUCAGGGCCCUUCUAAUGAGGGAUCUCUUUUUUUGUUCAUUUCUAGGGAUAGAUCAUUUGACGAACUUUUCGAUUACAAAAUCAAAUCUCCACCAUUUCGUUCGUUGGGCUAUAUGAGUAGAUCACUUCUGCAAAUUUUUAAAAAAUUUGGUGAUCGGUAAGUCAUCCAAAUGAGGGAUUUAUUUUUAAUGAUUUUGAACGGUGUAGGUUUGACAUAAGUGUUAAGUUUUUUUUUUUAAUCUCAGCCAUCCAAGCCCAUUAAAAAACAGAUCUAAUGGUGUGGGCCUAUCCCUAGAAAUGAACAAAAAAAGGGAUCCCUCAUUGGAAGGGCCAUGUUCUUCAAUACACACACACACACACACACACAAUUUCUUUCAAGAGUGGUAUACCGCUUUGAAAUUAAAAUAUGGAUCUCCUAAUUUCGCUCACUUUUAGGUCACAUUUUCACAUCUCAACCGUACAAUAUCUAGAGCAUAGUGUGUAUAUCAUUCUUGCACAGUUUCAUCUAAUUUGGAAAUCAUUUGGGUAUCAAAUUAGAUUAAAUAAAUCAUUAGAAUAAAAACUGUAUAAACAGAAUCGUUCGUGUAAAUCACGAUUACAGAAGUUCAAAUGAUCUUCAAAUUAGAUGAAACUUUGCAUAAAUUAUCUACAUACUGUAUUUUAGACACUGAAAUGUGGAGUUGUGGAAAUGCAAUCUGAAAAUGAGCGAAAUAAAAAGGUCUGCAUUUUUUAAUUUCAAAACAGGACACCACUCUAGAAAAGAACUGUGUGUGUGUAUAUAUGUUUUAUUUGCAGAGAUACAGGUUAUUGCAUUGAUCUAAUUAGCUAGCUCCAACAACAAAAACAAAAGUACGCAUAAUUGUGGCAGCCUGCCCAUUAAGUUAUUCCUCUUCCCCUCGUUGGGCCUUAUGUCUGUACUCCAUUUUCAAAUUCCUACCAAAUAGGUCAACAUAGAUUGGCCCAAGUUUUAGGGUUUCCGUGCAAUUGUUGCCAUUAUUGAGCUUAUAAUCCCACAUUCCUAUAUCUCUCGUAACAGCAAGAGAUUGACCAAAACAUAAAAAAACAGACAAAGAAAACGAUCUCACGCCAAACCAUCUUGUUUGCAUUUCCUUUCUCAAAAGCCUGGCUACCUUACUCGGAUGACCACAUUACCGAUUAUAUUAGUGAAUAAACCUGUUUCUUUGGCUGAGAUUAGUAGAUGAUUAAGUACUAAACAAUCCAAAUGAACCCCGUUCACCGUUCACAUGCAUCGUAAUGAGGAUCGUUAAACAAUCGCUUUCUGUUGGACACGUGAGGGAGGACUCACUAGCUACAAGGUUGACUCAAAUCUUCGGCUCUGAUGGUGAUGAAGAUAGGGUUCUUAAUUGGAUUAAUAUAAGAAGAAGAUUAAUUAGAUUAACAUAAUGAACGAAACCCCAAUUAAGAAAUUUUGGUAAUACCAAUAGAUUUCGUGCUUGUGGGGUUGUUUUUUUUGUUAGGUUUAAACUUGUUUAUUGAAUCCAAAGCCACCCUGCAUGUGAAAGAACAUUCUUUCUGAGUUGGUGUCGAUACGAACUCUCUGAUCUCAUUCGUCUCUGCCAUUUCCAGACUCGAUCUGAAUCAAAUGGCCAUUUUUAAUUCCAGAUAAUUGUUUAGUUUCGAAUUCCCUUCUGUUACGUACCGAAAAUUCUUCCCAGAUAAACAGGUAAGAAGAAACAGACACAGUUAAAUUGUUUGGAAUUGUUCCUAGUUUUCAUCAAGAAAAGUCUAAGCUACGGGGAACACAUUAAGUGGGGGGUUGGGGACAUGUUGAGUUUAUGUUUUGGCAUAUCUGGGGUUAGAUAUAAGUUUAUGACUGAUGUGUUUUCAUGACAGAUGUGUAUAUCUCAUGCAUGUUUUGGCAAUAGGAAAUGGCACCGUACGUACAUGUAUAGGUGAUCAUUUACUCAAAAUGUUCGGUUGGGAGGGAUCGAGUUCAUAUUAAUUCAAAGUGAUCGAUCUGUGUUUAUCGGUUGAGAUGACUUCUAAGGCAUGCAAUCAAAUAAAGUUUGCCCUACAUGGUCAUAUUUUGAAGGACUCUAUAUAAUCUCCGGAUCGGAGUUGUCGCUUAGUUACCCAAAUGCUACGUACAAAUUGUUACAUGACUUACAUCGAUCCUGAGUCGGGUUUUGCAAUACAACAUUAGUUACAGCUAGUACCCUCAUGGUGUACAAGAGUUUUAGCUCUAGUAGGAAGUUAGGGUCGGGCCUUUUGGUCCGAUGUUUGUUAUAAGUGGUCCAUUAGUAGCUCUACUUUGUAUUAUUCAUACCACUUGUAACUUCUUCCGUAUGAAUGCACCGCAUUUAAUAAUAAAAAAAAAAACUAGUACAACAUGAUUGAUUCACCUCAAGAACCCCAAAAAGAAAAAGAAAAAACGUAACAUGAGUAUAAUUUUGCGUGUCCUACAUGGAUUGCAUUAGUUGUAAGGCAUUGUCCUUAUUGACAGGAUCGAUUAGUGUUUCCUCGGCUUUUUCUGAGGAGUGAGUUCCAUGCCAACAAAACUAAAUCGUAGCUAGCUGUACGUGUUUGCCCAAUCCAAAUGUUGAUGAUCAGGGUUCCACGAAGGCUUGUCUCGUCCUUCAUUAUACGUACAUGUUAGCUCUAGCUUGUUUCUGCUGCCAUGUAUCAGAGACAUCCAUUAUGUCUUUCUGGGCUAUUUUUCUUUAGAAUAUACAGCACGUAACUCGCAGAGUUGCAGAGAAUUCGAAGUAAUGUGCCUGGGAUUGGUGGGGAAGAACAGAUUAGAUUAGAUUAGCUCUGGGUUAAUUCGGCCCAAACAGAUGUUUCACGACUUGAAGCCCAAAAGUGUAUUUUGUGUUUUCUUUGCCCAAGAAUCAUGCAUUCCCUGAGACCCUGACUUGGGCUAAGCUAGUGUCUAGUUCACUAGUUGUUUCUGAAAUUAAGAUUAUAACACACAACGUAGACUAACCGGGAUUUGCUUGUACGUUUAACUACUUACGCAUCAAGUGCCGAGGCAUUACAAGAAAACAAAGUGAUAAUCUAAAACAUUCCAAUAUUAGUCGAAAGAUUAGUUGGCAAAGAGAGGGCAAGCCAUUUGACUCACAUUGUAUGCCAAAAUGGUAUCGUUCUACUUGAAGGGAGAGGGAAAUCCAUUCUUUUAGUUGUCUUUCCUUUUGGAGAAGUUUAGUUGUAAUUAUGGUGAGGUUCUUGACCACUUCACGAGGGCUAAAAAGAGCAUAGAUUAUAGGAUAAGAAUCAUAAGAUGUAACAUCAAUCUUCUGUUCUAAACGUUGAACGCUCUCGCCAAUUGACUUAUGAAGAUCGAUGACCAGAAACAAAAUCAUAAUUACUGGAAAAUUCGGAGUUCAACAAAGCAAAAUUGUUUUAGGAUUCUAGGGCAAGAAAGAUGGAAACUGUAUCAUAAUCCAUGUAAUUAUUCCUAUCAAGGGCCCUAAAAGAUAUAAAACUCACAAUCCAAUGCUAAUAUUCGACCAAAUUUUUGUUGAAUUAUGAGUGCCUUUGUAUUUUUUUUUUUUUUUUUUUUUUUUUUGGUCUGGUAAACAAAGGAGGUCCAUCCCUACUUGUUCAUUGCUUCAUUGAUAUGAUAAUCAAAGAGAACAAUGUAGGAACACCGUAAAGAAAAGAACAGACUAUAACAACGAAAUCAUAGCUACGUACGUACGCAAAGUGAUAUUUCAAGAACCCGCUUCUUUUUCCGAGGUUUGAAAUCAUAGCUAGCUACUCAAAGUGGCAAACAUGUUUUCUAAAACGUAGAAUGAACCAGACCAACAUCGAAACAUUUUUGUAGACUUUUGAAACAAACGCGAAGAGUUGGGUUGUGUGUCCCAACGAAACAUGUUGUGUUCUAAACUAACAACAAGUGAUUAACUAAUUCAUAUGAACAUACAUUCUCUCUCUCACUCUAAUUUUGACUAUGAUUAAUUUUCUUUCAAUAAUGAUGAUCAAGCUGGUCAUUACAAAUCAACCCUCCCGGGAUUAGAGGGCGGGCGUCCCCGCUUUAGAGGACAAGGCGGUGUUGGCAGCGGCCGAGAGUUUGGUCUUUGUAGGGCCGGUGGUUGUUGCGGUGGUGGUGACUCGCUCGCAAUGAGGGCACAUAGUGAGGGUGGAUGCCGGAAGCGGUUCACAAGUGUGGGGGGACAUCACAGUUGGAGGGCCAACUUUCAUGGCCCUCAGCUCCUCGACCUCCCUCUGCAGCCUCCGGUUCUGUUCAGUCAGUGACCCGAACCAUCUCUUCAGAUACUCGCAUUCCAUUUCUGUUUGCUUCAGCUUGCUCCUGCAGAUUUUUGCUCGCGUUACAACUACGUUACCCUAAGUCGUAAAAUUUCAUAACAUAAUCAUGGAUAUUCAUAAAUGCAUGGGUAGCUAGCUAUUCCAAAUUGGAGUGUCUCGAGUCAAAGUAGCACUAAUUAGAGUGACGAAACUGACGAGCAGACGAGACUGAAACAACACCAAUCUAUAGCUAUUCGUAAAUGCACGAUUAGCUACUUCUCUUUGCACGUACAACUGGGUUGGAUCGAUCAGGUCCAUAUAUUAAGUUCUUCAUAAAUUAACCCACCAAUGUAACUGCGCAUACUUAUUAUCAUUGUUUGAUUCUAUAUCAACUUAACCAUAAUGCAUUGUUCCAAAAUAAAAGUUCAAUCAAUCAAUUUUUAGAAAAGAAAAUAAGAAAAGAGUAGAAUAUUGAAUAUUCUAACAUCUUUAGCUUAAAGAAUAAGAAUUACACAAACAAAAGGCGUUCUUGAUGUCUGAAUAAAAAUCGCAAAAGAUUCUUACGUGCAAUACAUAAGGAACUAGCUAAGCUAGCAUGGAACGUCAAGAUCGUUUGGUUCGAAAACUUAGUGAUAAAGUUGUGCGUCUUUGUGAAAGGGAAAUGACGUUAAAUAGUAGUAGAGCACAUUUGAUGAAUUUAAUCAUAUCCCAACCACCAACAUGUUGAUGAUAAUAAUAAUAGAAGGGAAUGGGGGCAAAGAAACCUAGAGGCAAAUCGGUAACAGUGUGUGAGUACCUGGCCCUACGAUUUUGAAACCACACCUCAACUUGGCGUGGCCUCAGCUUCAACUGCAAAGCCAAAGCCUCUUUCUGCCUCUGCAAAUUUAUCAAAAGGGUUUUCAAUUCAUUAAUAUUCAACAACAACAACAACAUCUGCAGGUAUUUACUAUUAAUCACAAAGAAAAGACAUGAAAGCUACAGGUUUAUAUGUGUGUGUGUGUGAGAGAGAGAGAGAGAGAGAGAGAGAGAGAGAGAGAGAGAGAGAGAGAGAGAGAGAGAGAGAGAGAGAGAGAGAGAGAGAGAGAGAGAGAGAGAGAGAGAGNNNNNNNNNNNNNNNNNNNNNNNNNNNNNNNNNNNNNNNNNNNNNNNNNNNNNNNNNNNNNNNNNNNNNNNNNNNNNNNNNNNNNNNNNNNNNNNNNNNNNNNNNNNNNNNNNNNNNNNNNNNNNNNNNNNNNNNNNNNNNNNNNNNNNNNNNNNNNNNNNNNNNNNNNNNNNNNNNNNNNNNNNNNNNNNNNNNNNNNNNNNNNNNNNNNNNNNNNNNNNNNNNNNNNNNNNNNNNNNNNNNNNNNNNNNNNNNNNNNNNNNNNNGAGAGAGAGAGAGGGUUUGUUACGGGGUUUAAAGUGUGGUGCUGUCUGAAGCUCUCUUCGAGAAGACGGGACUGUUCCUUUGUGAGACGGAGCUUCUUCCGGGGCGGGCCGCCCGAUCCGUUGCUGCUGUCUUCUUCGUCCUCCAGUAGUUCUUCUUGAUCUGCUCCUUGUCCUGCUGAUGGUACUUGGUUUAUGUCCAAGUCCCUCACUGCACCGCAAAACCCAUGUUCAUUCAUCAGGCACACGAACAAGUUAGGGUUUAGAAAAGACAAUCCCCACAAAGACAGACAGGGGAAAAAGAAAAACACAUGCAAGCAAGUUAAGAAGACGAUCAUACGAUAACAGAGUCUAGAAAAAUUAAGAAGAUGAUCGAUCGGAGAUUGAUUAUGAGGAGAAACCGGUGGAUAAUUAGUUAAUUACCUGAGGAAGGAAGAGAUGGGUAGGAAGAGAAGCCAGGAACAGACAUAGUCAACUCCAAGCUCGCCAUAGAUACCUGUUAUUGAUCAAAGCUAGCUAGCCAAAAGGUGAUGAGAGGAGGAGGAAGAGGAGGAGAAGGAGAAGAGAGGAGAGAAUAAAAGGUAAAGUAAAAACAGAAUGAGACAGAGAUGGAAAACCCCAAGUUUAUAGUGGGGAAUUGGGGAUGAAUUAAAUAGAGAGGGUUAAGAAAAGGUCAAAUAAAUAGUGCCACACAGAAAAAACUAGAAAAUGUAAAGAAAAUGUGUAUGGAGAUUGGAGAGUAUUGAAUUUUGGUUUUUGGUUUUGGAGUUGGGUUUGGGUUUGGGGUAGGGGUAGGGUUUCAAUUCUUUGACUGUUGUCGUCAAGUCAAAGGUCUGGCCAGGACACGUGUCCAAGCGAUGAAAAAACUGGUGUAGGAGAAUAACCGGCAAGGUUUACUGUACAAGGUUUUAGAAAAGAAGAAGAGGUCCGACUCUUAUUUGUCGGUUGGAAAGGUCAAAGCUGAUGAAAUGAUUGAACUGUAUGUGAAGCAACAACUAAGCACUGCUGCUCUACCUUAGCUUAAUCAAGCUAGCUUAUGUGAACAUUGUGAAGCUAGAAAGCUAUGCACCUUCUUCCUCAUAGACAUUUUCAUUGCCCCCCGAAAACGAAAUGACAUCCCAUAUUGCCAUGAUCAGGACCACUGAGACAGUUUCAUAUCUGUUAUCAUCAUCAUCAUCAUGCAUCACAGAUCCAGGUAGAUAUGGUCGACUGGGAAUUAAGGUGUUUGUUUAUGAAUCAUAAAUGGCGCGCAGUGGGGAGGUUACUGUUUGAAACAAUGGAGGAUCAAAGAAAUUCAAUGCUGUUGGAUUUGUUUUGCGGGUACAUUAGGAAUCGCACUUGCAACGCUUUCUUUGAACUACUGGCCAAAGAAGUAAGCGAUGAAAUUAUUUUCCGGGUGGUAUGGAAUUUGGAAGAAGUGCCAUUUAUGAAGCUAGGAAGAGCGUGCUGGGUUUUCUGCCAAACCCUUUCAUUUAUUUUCACCAAUGAAUUUGAAUUACUUUCUGGUGUAGGUAUGGAAGAAAGCAGGGUGAAACAGUUUUAAUGAGGAAGACCAUUGCACGCUUCUGCUAUCUCUGGCAUGCAUAGAUUACUGAGUUAUGAUACACAACAACGUUUUCUAUUGCCCUUUCUGACAUAGCAACAGAAAACAUUUAUGCCUCUUCUUUGAUUCAAGGAUUACAAGUUUAACCGAAAUGAUCAAAUGUGUUCAAAUCCAGGAGCUCAAAACGUAACUCCUUUCUGUCUAAUUUUCCCUUGCAUUUAUCAUUGCUUUUCCUUUCAGCUAGCUCGCUCUGAAAUACUAUAGCAGUGACCUAAAACUGAGGUGGUAAUAUAGUAUAUUAAUUCUUCAGGUUCAUAUUCCACUAAUUAAAUUUGAUGGGUUUGUAACUACUAUGUCCAAGUCCACCGACUACCUGCUUCAUUGUAUUGAAGGAUUUGACAAUCUUUCAAUUGGAACGGUGGACUAGGAUUAAUUAUAACCAGACUAAUGGCCGAUUAUAUGCACAAAAGCGGAUAUAUAUGCACCUAAUUCAUGAUUAGCUUUGACCGUGAAAAUCUAUAACAAAAAAGUGACAUGCAUAUAUUAUAACCAAUUUGGCUUCUUCUUUAAUGGUAUGAUAACCAUUAAAAGGUGCUGCAUUUGAGACACAAUAUAUACUAGCUAGCUAGCAGUGGCGGAGACAUAAUUUUUACUUAAGGGGUUCGAGUUUGACAAAAGAUAACUAGACUUAAAUUUAUUUUAGUUACCUAUGUGUUAAAUGUACCAAUUGUGUGCAUCAUUUUCCACCUACAAGCUUAUUAAAGUUUUAUUCAAAAUCAAUAACGAUAGUGUGAUAUAUCUACACGAACAAAAAGUUUAGCAAAAGAUUGAUGAUAUAUAUUAACAAAUUAGAAGGUUUUUACUUGUAGUUCAUACUCACUAGAGAUAGGAGAAUUGGAGGGCACAAAAUUGACAUAAAGUUAAAGAAAAAUCAAUACCAUUAAACCCUGACCAUGGAAAUAUUAUCUGUUUCCUUCUAUGUAAUGUUAAUUACUCUUAAAAAAAAAAUGUUAAUUACUCUUGUUUAACCGAUCCAAUUGAAUAAUCUAUUAGUUACAUAAAAUAUUAGUUCUUUCUGUUUACUUUUCUGGUCUCUUACCUAUCUAGUCAAGUGACACGAGGUAGUUACUGUGAGAUUGGCUUGGGCAAUACACAUGCAAAUAGGCAAUCAGUGAAAAGGCGUCCAGACCCCGCCACACCUAAACAUAGUUCCGCCCCUGCUAGCUAGCUGGAAAUUUCAUUGUUCAUACUUCACAUGAAGUUUAAGUUUCAGACAUUACACAUCACAAAAAUGUUUCGGAUCCAGUUUUGCCGGGUUGGCAAAACUGAUGGUCAUCCAUGACAAGCCAAUCAACUCUCUCUCUCUUUCUCUCCCUCUUUCUUCUCUCUCUCUGUCUCUCUCUUUUUGAUUAACUGGUCAUGGAUGACCAUAGUUUUGCUGGUUGGCAAAACUGGAUCCAAAUGUUUCCCCCUAACUAGUAGAGGGCAAAGAUCGACUAAGCAAGUGUGCGACAUGAAGAGUAAUACUUUUCCAUUUGCAUCUAUGGUGUGACUAGGCCGGCCAAAUAAUGAUCAAUCGAAGUCUCGUGGUCUCGAUUUAUCUCUAGUUGAUCGUAUCAUGCAUUAAUUUUAUCACAUGCACAAAAAUUAUAGCACGUCUUAAUUUGUAAGUGUUCAACGUAUUUAUUUAUGGCCGUAAGAUCAACCAUAAAUCAAAAAUGUACCAUUUAACCCGCUGAAAAUGCAUUCAACACUGAUAUUGAAGAACCUAGUAGAAGAAAAAGGUGUCCAUUUUUCCGAAGAGGAAUGGAUCGUAUGCAUGAUUAGGGCAAAAGUGAAAAGCGUGGGAAAUGGGGCGGUGAUAGUCUGGUUCGAUCAUUGCAUCCAAGACAUGUCGUGGAACAAGAUGGUGCCUGUGGGUCCCACCCUUGAAUGAUUGGUAAGGAACCAGGUGGGACCAGAUUGUCUGCUUGUCUCUCGUCGUGAAUUGCCGAUUGGGUAUUCCACCAAACAUACCGUGUUCUGUCAUCCCAGUGGAUAACACCUUGGCCCUACCCAACCCGCACUAUGUUCUUCACAAAACUUGCACUCAAAAAACAUCAGCUAGCUAGUGUUCUGAUUUUCUAAGUUUCUCUUAUCCAAAUAUCGAGUUAGCCUACUUGAUCUCGUUAGAUUCGUAUCGAGUUAGUCUACUUGAUAUAUCCAUACAUUAAACGAGUUGAAAUAUCAAAGUAAACUAAAUUGAAACAGAGAUGGUCUAAUUUGAGAUCAAGUCAAGCUAGUCUAAUGUAUCGAGACGUUAAUAUAUCGUAUAAUUUGUUUAGUGCUUUAAGCUUGAGCAUCUUUGCUAUGGUUUCAAACACAUCAUCAAGUUACCAGAGGAAUUUGUUUACUGAAAGAAACAGGAAUCUGCAUUUUGAGUUACAGGACAUGUAAAUAAGAACAAAUCGAGAUCGUGUAUGAGACCAUGAUGUAAAAGUGUGUAUACUGAUUCCAAUGGUUUUGCAUAUAAACGAAUGAUGAAAGCACGCACGAAUUGUUUUCCUAUCAUGUUGUUCGAAUCCGACAGCAAGAUUAUCCUCAAUCCAGAAAUGUCUUUCUUCAUUAUAACAUCAUUUGAACUUUGUUUCUGAAUUUGUGGUCACCUAUUAUUCCCCAAAAAUCAUCUUUGUACAGGAUCUUUGAAGAUAAAGAAGUCGUGAUUCUGCAAAUUAUAAAGUUAUUAUUUUGGAAGACUAUGUAAGACUUGAACUACCUAGUACUCGUACCUGGGCUACCUGCUCUUGAGUCUUGAUUACCAGUCAAACCCAACCAAAAACCUUCUCAGAGACCAAAGAGAAGUAACUAAGGAUCUAAUAGUCAAAUGGUUGGGAUUAGAGAAAGAAAACAGCAAGGUUUCCAGUCAAUUCAGAGUUUCACCAACUAUCCUCACUUUGACAACCUUAAAGUUUGACGGUCAACAGAUCAGAAGAAACAAUGAAGCUGCCAUGCGUUAGACACAAAAUACUUCAGCUCAUUGGCACACGUAUAUGAUCAGCAAGUUAGUUCAGAUUAAAUAAGGAAAGAAGGCAUUGGAUUUGACCGAUUUGUAUUCAGAUUAAAUAAGGAAAGAAGGCAUUGGAUUUGACCGAUUUGUAUUCAGAUUAAAUAAGGAAAGAAGGCAUUGGAUUUAACCGAUUUGUAUUCAGAUUAUCCUUGAAACACAGUUUAUGCAACAAGACUUUCUCGUCAUUUUUGGUCAGUUAUUCUGUUCUGUUGAACCUACAGAUUUCAGAUACAAAUACAAAACGAUGAAAAAUAAACAUUAGACAUCGCAGCGGCCACAUAAUUUGUCAUCUUUGAGCAUCCUUAGAUGUUACAGAGGCCCCCUUCUGUGGGUGACUUGCCAAGGACUUGGUACAAUUGUCAAUUCCAAGGGCUUGCGGCUUGCCUGACUAAACUUCAGAAUGUUUGGUUCCAACAAACUCAACCCUGUAACAUCAGACCUAAAAACUCCUGUGUUCUUAUGUACCCAAAUUUCCUAAAUAUACAACUGCAGCCUCUAAGUUGUUGGAAUUACCAUUAUGUAGAGUUGCCCAGAAACAUCAAAGCUAGUGAAACCUCUGAUGUGCAAAACAUCAAAGCCAUUGUAUAUUAGAAGAGGGUAAUAAACAGAAAAACUGAAGAUGUAAUCAGUACAACAACCGUACGAGAUCCAGGCUUUCAGAUUUUACCUUAGGUAAUCUCAGUCACCCAGAAUAGACAGCGGUUGUCUCAUGCUAAGCUCUGCCUUGAGUACCGGGAAUUGCUCCAAAUCAUGAGAAUCACCUAAAACUUUCUGUAAAAAGAAAACCACGACUUUCAUAAAGAACUGUACUACAUGAACCAGAAGAUCACCAAAGUGGACUUGCGGAGUAAAAAAGAAAUGCAGAAAUCUUUUUUUUUCUUUUCCCUCGUGGAUUUUAGAAAUGAAAAUUUAUCAACACAGGAUAUGUCCAAAAGGUAACUAAACCAAAAAAGUAUCUUUUUGUGGUCUGAAUAUAGUAUGAUCAAUUUUUGUGGGACAAUAAGUACUACAAUCAAUUAAAACCUAAAAAAUCAGCUCUGUACGACCACAUAAAAUUCAGACACAUGAAUGGCCCAAGUUAUUUCAUACCAAAAACAAUACAUGAUUUCAUGUACUUCAGAACUAAACCAAGAAUAUAGUCAACAUACAAUGGAGACACAAACUCAUAAGACAGUACUUAUGCAGAUAUACCUAACUUCAAAAAAGAAAUGAAGUAUCAUAUGUACAAGUAUCUCUUGAAUAUAGAAACAAUGUAGGGGAUAUGGUAACCAAAUUAAUCAAAGAAGUCAUUGACCAAAAACAGUUUAUCACAAAAGUAAAUGAUAAAGAUAACAAUAAAGGAAUAUUAAUUACCAGAGCAGCAUGGUGUGCUUCUUGUAAGAUAUUGCCAUCCAUUUCCAAUCUUGCAAUAGGAAACUCUGGAAGAUGUCCCGACUGUUUCUUGCCAAGCAAGUUACCAGGUCCACGUAAAAGAAGGUCCAUAUUAGCCAAGUAAAACCCAUCUGAUGAUUUUCCGAGGACCCUCAGCCGUGGCAGGCUGCUCUCAGAAGAUGCUAACAGUAAACACUUAGACUUUCUCACUCCUCGUCCAACUCGUCCUCUAAGUUGAUGCAACUGAGCAAUCCCAAACCUCUCAGCGUUCAUAACAACCAUCAUAGAUGCAUCUGGGACAUCAACACCAAUCUCAAUCACUUGCGUGGCAAGAAGUAUAUCUGUUUCACCAGACCUAAACUUUCUCAAUGCUUCAUCUUUCUCAUCACUCUUCAUUUUUCCAUGCAACAAUCCGCAGCUGUAGCCGCGAAACCUAUGAGAUAUAGCUUCAAAAUCCGCAGAAGCUGCCCGAAGUUGAGGCAGCUGCUCAGAUUGUUCAAUGACCGGAUACACUAGAUAUACUUUGCCUCCUUCUUUUAACUCAUCUAGCAUCAUCUGUUACAUGUUAUAUAAAUUUUACUCAGAUACUAAUAAAGCUGAAACACCAAAAUUCUAGUUAUUCUAAAUUUCUAGUAACUUGAACCAACACGAAAAUACUAAAUUCAUCAAGGAUCAUCAUCCAAGUAACAGUGACAACUAUAAGGCUAUGAUGUGUUUUUACUCUUUUUAUGCUCUAAAUUUCCAGUCCACCAAGCCAUCCUUGUAUGCAUUAAUGGCUUAUUAUUUUUAAUUGAUAUUCAUCUAAAUCUAUUGUAGUCUUGUCGGGCUUAAAUCAAGGAGAAUCACCUCAUAAGCAUCCUCAUACCCAUUUUCAUUUCCUUGAAUAAUGAAUGUCUCCACCGGUAUUCUUCCAGGUGGCAAGUCUGUUAUCUGUAAAUUAAAGAAAGUAGAAACAUGAGAAUUAGAGAACAUUCAGUUUACAGGAUAUCAAUUUUGUACAAAUGUAGCGCUCAGUCUUUUUCUCUUUUAUUUUGGACGUGAAAAGCAACACCCAACAUAUUACAUAAAAAGGUUAGAAGCAACUAGAUUUGAAUACAUUCAUUUCCGUGUUAGCUUAAGAUGUGGAAUUAUUGUUAUUGUUGUUGUUGUUAUUGUUGUUGGGGGUGAAUAAUGUAAUUUCAUGAUUUAAAAUUGUUAUUGAAAACUUAAAUUCCAGACGCGGAGAAAAGAAAAACAAAAGUAAGGAAGAUCUUUGUUCCAACAUAAAUAAGCGUGAAGGAACAGAAAGAAAAUGCAUACUUGUGUUAAUGACAUAUCCCCGUAUAAGGCCAGAGCAAGUGUCCUUGGGAUCGGAGUAGCUGACAUGGCAAGAACAUGAGGAGCCAUAUGCUUUUCACAUUUGGAGGUCCCAUCUGAGUUUGUGGCUAGCAUGUUAGAACUUAUGGAGGUAUAGUAUAGCUGCAGGGAAAAGUACCUCUGUUAGCUGUAUAUAGAUUGAAAUUACGAUAAAAAGGAGCAAGUUUCAAGGAAUGGAUUCUAAAUGCCACAUUAUUACUAUCCUAGAAGAAAUGUUCAAUUGAUCCAUAGUUCCAUACCAACCCUAGAAGGUCCAAACUUCCCCUCUACUUAGAUUGACAAUGAUCAAUAACUACACAAUUUAAUGAAAAACUUAUUGGCAAUGAUUUUCCACAGCAAUAUCAACAAAAAUUAAUCGGUCAUUUUGUUACAAAUAGUCAAGUUGUAACACAGUUAGUAGACAAAGUAAACAUGGAGUACUACAGCCUCACAGAACAUGACCAACAUUUCAGGUCUAAUAGACAACCUUACUGUUAAACCGUCCUCUCUGGAUGACACCGAAACGAUGUUGUUCAUCCACCACAGCAAUCCGUAAUGCAGAGAACUCCACACGGUCAGCUAUCAAACUGGUUGUUCCAAUGACCAUUGAUAUCUCUCCAGUCUGGAGACUCUGAUGAUCCAUAACAUCAUGAAUGAGUUGUUACUGAAUCACCAAAAUAGUUUAUUUCACCAAGAACCAACAGAACUGGACAUUUUUACUUGCCUUUUGAAUCAUCCGUGAUUGUUUUGACGGGGUUGAUCCUGUUAGUAACGCAAUAGUAGGUUUGAACUCAACAUCCUCCAUAGUUUCAAGCAAAUUCUUUAAGUGCUCAUAAUGCUGGACAGCAAGCAACUCAGUAGGAACCAUGAAAGCUGCCUAUACAUUAAAGAAAGGGAUAAUCAGAAAUCUCUUCUGCUACGAACAGUGAUUAUAACUAUAUCGCAUUUGAGAAUAUGAAUGGAGAAAGGUUUGAGAUUAAUCAAAGCAAUAGAUAUUCAAAUAAAUGGACUCCAAUCAUCAGACAGCCAUAAUUAAAAUGGUGUAAAGUAAUUUCCAAACAAAUAUGAAUAACAAGGAAAAGGUCUUGAAAGCCCAACCUGAUAUCCAGAGCCUAUUACCUCCAUGCAUGCUAGAAAAGCAACUACAGUUUUACCACAGCCAACAUCACCCUGGAAAUAUAUGAAACAUCAUAUUAUCAACCAAGAAUAUUCAGCUUUCUAUUACAUCUACUUCGCAUUCCAUAUCAAUUAGAAGAAAGAAAAGAACUAGUGUAAAAGUCAUGGCCCUAAAAUUGAACUGAACCAUAAGCCAACAAGUAACUUGUCCUCAGGUGGUAAAAUGUUGUAUAUAGUGUACAUAAUCUAACUCCAUUUACGUAAUAUGGAAUCUUUUUAACUGCAGUAAGUCAAUUCAGCUCAAGAUGUAGAAUUACAAUAUCAGAAUCAGAAUGAAUAUGUAAUUAUGUGUGUGUGUGUGUCUACAAGUUGUACUAAACCUGAAAAUAAUUGGAUACAUCUGAUAAUCAAGAUUUAAAACCUGCAAUAGCCGAUUCAUGGGCACUGGUUGCCUGAGGUCCCAUAUAAUUUCUGAAACAGCAGUGAGCUGACUGGCUGUAAGAGCAUAUGGAAGAGCUUUAAGGAACUUCUUGGUAAGAUUGGACCAAUCUUCCAUAUAAGCAGCACUUGAUUCAGGUUUCCUGUACUUAUCUAGCAAUCCAUCUUUCUCUAUCUGUGUACCAAGCCCUUCAAGCAUUUGGUAUAAGCGCGCUAGCUGAUAGGUGAUGAUAAUUGGGUCAGUAAUCUAUUCAUGAAUUAAUCAUUGCAUGAUAAAAAAAAAAGCACAAGUUAUGAAAACUAAAAAUGUCAAUAGGAAUUUAUUAUGAACUCAGAAACAACAAAAGUCAUAUAAAAGCAUAAAAAAGUAUAUAUGAUCACAAUAAGAUAUAUACAUUCUACAAUUACAAAAGUGGCCAGAGCUAAUAGAAUCUUUUAAACUUCAAAUAAAGAGAACAAUUUUGAACAACACUACCUGAAGGUAAAAGAACUCGUCAAAUAUUAGCCUUUUCCGAGCCAAAUCAGCUUCACUCAUACUCUUCGGUUGGUGAAUCUCAGUGUACGCCUGUAUUGUUAACAUUCAUAUUGCUCAUUUUCUUUUUUACGCACAUGAAACAUAUUAAAAGAACAGCAAGGAGGCACAUAUAGCUAUACUAAAACAUGCACACUGAGACAAAUUGAGGUGGAUGGAGUCGCAUACUCUGCUCCCAGAACAUUAAACACCACAAAAGAAAAAGAAAAGAAAGAAUAUAUAGUUGUAGAAAGGAAGAUAUGACCAAUGAGACAACUUAAAGCUAACAUUUAUCCAUGUCAUUGAAAAAAAUUUAAAAAUCAAGAUAUAUUUGUUCUAGUGCGUGUUAUCAUUGUAACGAGUGACCAUAACUUAGGUAUGAAACUAUGAAUCACAACUUUACAAGUAAUGAGAGUAAAGGUACUUACAUCAUGAAGACUGAGCAGCCCAAAUUCCUGAAUGAUACUUUUAGGAAUAGGAUCAAUAUUGACAGGUAAAACUUGUACAACUCUGGAAUAUGUAACAUGACAUAGAUUUAGUUUAUUAGUUUAAGAGAAAACUACAAAGCCAUUGCCCAAAUCAUCCAAUACUGGCACAUUCACAAGUGAAAAGACCAAGAGGCAUUUCCCAUGAAAGAGUUAAUUACAUAGUAUAUAUACACAUAAAUGGAGCCUAUGAGGUGAUUGAGCAAACCAGCCAUUCAUACAGAAAUGAAUACAAAUGGUACAAAUUUCUAAGGAAGAGAUCUAAUAGCCUAAAGUAUCUUAGAAUAAGAAAAUUAAGAAUUUUUUAGGUCUCGCUCUGCAAGGGAGGAGUUGUGUCAUCAUGUUACAAAUUAACACACUGAAAAUGUAACAGGCACAAACCUUUCAAUGAUAUCUCUCAAAAUGUUUGGAUUUAAGCCUCCUUUUGAAGGGUAUAUAGGAUAUGGCCUCCCUUUUGCAUGAAAAGACAAGUCAUUUUCAUCCUUAAGGACAUCAAUAUUAUAUUCUCUCAUUUCAUAGUGAUCUUUGGUAGGCAUUGUCCUCACCUAUAUCAAAUGGCAUCAUCAUAAGUACAAGUCUCCAGAUUAAGAUUAGAUAACUGAAAACUGAAGAGUAAUAUCAUUAAGAAUUUAAGAUAACAUUUGAUGCAUUUCAUAAAAAGAGUUAUCAAUCUAUCUAUCCUUAAUAACUUUCAAUACAUGAAAAAGCGAGUCAUUUUUUAAAUUGCAUAUCAGAUGGAACAAAAAGCUGCUGCAAAGGCCCUAAUCAGGGAGUAAAAGUUAACAAGUCAAAAGGUCUUCAAUGCAAUUCACAUGCCCUUAAGCAAUCACUUUUCUGAAAGCAUUACGAAUAUGCAAAAGCAAUCCACAAAUGCAGCAAUAUCUAUUCAUAACAAGGAAAUACAUCAUCAUAGCAAGGACUUAGAUUCUGUCAGCUUCAAUCCAGCAGGGACCAGCCCAUUAAUCUUGAACAGUAUUAAAUUCAUUAAUCGUAAUCAUACUUGACAAUAUAAUUAUGCACAAGAAGGAAAAUCACAAUUCCAUUUAAAGGAGGGUCAGGUGCAUUUUCUGAGGAAAACUGUACGCAAUACCAAUUGAACAAAUUGAAGAGCAAGCAAAUACUGAACUUGCAUUUGAUCAAAAGAAAAUACUAAGGUACUGAACAAGUAAGAAAAGCAAUGAACAUACCUUACCACUAACACAAACAAAGUCUCCCUCUUUGUGCUUCUGCUCAACAAUUCUAAGAAACGGUAGAGAAGUGAAACGUGUACCACGAAAAAAUUUCUUCAGAUGCACAUAUAUUGUUUUCCUUCUACAAUCGGUAGAAUCAUCUUGAUUGUCCAUUAUUUUAUCAUCAGCAAUCUCACAUCCCACGACAACCUCAACAAUGGAAAAAGAAGCACCGGCUUUGAUUCCCCUGCAAAAGAAGAGGUAUAGAUAUCAAAACAAAAGCUGCACAUUAUAAACAUUAUUUAAAUAAAAAAGGGAAUACAGAGACAAGUGCAUAUGGACACAUGUAACAUGGCUACAGAUGCAUUACCACAUAUGAGUUACAAAGGCAUAAAACUUGGCACUAACAAACAUAUGUCAUGACACGUUCUUUGCUAUGUCAAACUAGGUACCAUUUUCUCAUGCCGACACUCUAACAUCAGUGGAUAUUUCAGAACAUCAGGUUUCUGUCAGGAAGCAAUAAGAUUUCUGCCAUUGUGAUUCACAUUGUUUAUCACACAUCUUGAUUUCUAAUUAAAUCACACUACGAAGCAAAGCAAGCAACAAGUCAAGUUACUAUGAAUAUAUCAUUUUAUAUUCUCUGUUACUGACCCCACCCAAUUGGUAAGGUGAGGACAUAGAGUGCCUAUUACAAUACUAAUAUCACCAAUUAAAUUAUUUCGUAUAACACGAUAAAAGCGCAAACGGCUUAUACAUCAUAGCAGGAACGUUGCUAAUACAUUAUUUUGGUAUGUAAAGUAAACUACAUGAGGCAGAAAUUAAUUACCUUGAUUUUAAUAUCUUUCCAAUGAAAAUCAAGUAUUGUCCAUCAUCAAUUUCAAUUUGAGCAUUCUGUAAAUCAGCAUAGGUCCGAGGAAAGUGGUGCAGCAAUUUGCGAACCUAUAUAGGAAAAGAUGUGAGCCAAGGCAUGUAUAUUUCUUUUAUUAAUUUUAAGUGAAAAUGGGGACACUUCCUUUAUUUAAAUCUCCAAAAACUUACCGUAUGAAAGCCACAAUUUUCUAGCUGAUUAAUACGCUUCUUACUUAUUCCAGGUACACAACUGAUAGGAUUGUCCAGGAACAACUCAUCAGGCACAAUGUUCUUUUGUGAUUUAACUGACACUUUGUUAGAAGAUUCAUCCACGGGAACUGGUUGAUAGGAGUGUCUCUCAGCAGCCAAAGUCUUUGACUGAUCCUCUGUUAAUAUGGAAGUUUCAGCACUUGGAAAAGAAGGAUACAGAGAAUCCCCUGUUUCAUAGAGAUGAUCUCCCUCCUGUUCUUCAACCGCAGAAUCAGAAGAAAAUCCUUCUGGACCUUGAGUCGUUAAAGGUGUCAACUUUUCAAAGAAAUUAGCAGUCCCAUCAUACAAUUCCACUUGAGGGGAACUACCCAAAAUGAUUGAUGGAAAUCUCUGGCAGACGAACGAGACAUCAAAAUCAUCCAUUGCAUCUUUAAUAUUCAUACCAUAAUGCUUUUCAGCUCUUUCAUUCUCAAUCAAAUCAUGAAGACCAUCAUAACCCAUCAAAACAGAUACCUAAAAGAAAAGGAGAGACCAAAAUAUGAACUACAGUAAACUCAAAUAAAAGCAAUAGUAUAGUCAUCAAGAUAGACAACUAGAAAACAACUUGGAGGACACAUGAUCAAUGCCUCACCAAAGAGAAACCCUUUGUAUGCAAAACUAAACAUUCUCAAAAGAAAAAAGAAAAGGGAAAAGCAUAUUUGGUGUGGACAAUGAGCUAUAUCACUUAUUUUCUCCUCACAGUAUUCCUUACAUGAAAUCAGUGUUCUAACAUGCACAGUGAUGGACUUAAGAAAUCCAGGAACCAGGGCAUUAGGGGUCCUUAAAACACAAUUUACUAAUUCAAUUACAAUAGACGUGUUACCACAGCUCAUUCACAAGAGGGUCAUACAUACUAAAAAUGCUUCUACAUACUUGACAAGGAGAGCAUCACCAUGAUAAUAAUAUAUUUGAAGAGGAGGAUUGUUCUACUGAAACAUAGAAAUAUGAAAAGUAUUGGACAAAGAUCAUGAAUGUUCAUAAUACACAAGCAUCAGUUCAAAUGAUCCCUAAAGAUACCAAAGCCAUGAUUGAGCUAAAUAUUCUCACAAAAUGUGUACUGAAGUCAAUGACCUGAAUUGCUCACUUAGAAGUAAAAACCACCCUCAAAUGGUGUAGUGAGCUGCAUUUAUCUUCAUAAUAUAUUAUACCAUAUAACAUGUAGGAUUCUAUAUGCUGACUACUUUUAAUCGGUUUUCGAUCUCAAGAAAGCGACAACUGGAGCUAUGGGAGGAAAUGUGUAUUCACCAGCAAGCCUCACAUCAGAAUCCAACAUUAUGCAUAUAAAAACAGAAGUUUUCAGAAGAAUCAAACUUGUAUUGGCAGAAGGAUACCUUGUUAAGUAACUUUGAUCGAUCUGAGACGCUUGCUAUGCCAUAACUAUCUGCCUCCUCCAAAAUACUCUUAGCAAAAGUAUGCUUUGAUCGAGAACAAAUUUUCAAUAUUUUAGAAAGGAGAAAAGUACUGAACCUACAAUGAAUACAACAUUGCACAUUGAUAAUCAUUUACCAUACUUUUGUCAUCAGACUAUCAAAUCGCAAAGAACAAACAAACCUCAUUUUGCUACCCAAUGCAUUCCGAUAUCCCUUCUCAGCUUCAAAAGCUAUUGCGCUCCUCAAUCCAUUUCCUCCGAAACACUGGAAACCAAAAGUUGGAAACUUCAAUCGCUAGAUAUCCAAAAUCGUAACAUCUCAUUUGAACAAUAGUGAAACCUAAACAAUUUGAAAUAACUACAACAUACCAUGCUAGCUGAAACUGCCAGUGCCAUACCUACUGCAUAAACAGGACAUGCCUAACCAACAAAAACAUCAAUCCUGCACAAGAUUAGCAAGACAGCUUCAGUUGCAUGAUUCCAAAGCUCACAUUUUCAACAAUACUACCAAGUAGUAGUCUUUGUCAAUCAAAACAGAGCUCACUAGCUACCUCCACUUGAAAUAAUGAAAUCGCAGUGAUCAUAUAUAAUCAUAUACAGAAAGAAAUAAACUACUGGGUAAACUUCGGAAUCAAAGCUUGAAACUUUGGAGCUGAACUGAAACACAACCGCUUCUGUUUCUAUUGGGAAACAAACACCAAACAUAAAAGGGAAGUUGGGUAAGUACCUGUUGCUCAAUCCUCAAUAUUCUGCAAAACCAAUAACACCCAGAAACGCUAGAAGAAGCUCCAGUGACACAAAUUCAGUUCCCACUUCCCAAUUCAACUUCCCACCUAUUGGGAUAUCCCACUCUUAAUUCCUUUUUUCUUUUCUGGGCCAAGGCCUGAUGACGACUCUGAUGGGCCUGAUCCAACUUUAGCCUCUUUCAGUGGUUAUAAAUAGCUGAAAGUGCUAGGGUUGUAACAUGCAACUUCUCUGUUUCAAUUAAGCCUCCGUCUCCCAGUUUUUGUUAGUUUCUUAGUUCCUCAGAUUUCAAGUGUUUCAGUGUUAUGAUAAGGGCUGAGGCAUAAAGGGCAGAGCUUUAUGCAUCUAUGCAUGAAAUCAGUGGCUCUGAUUUUGCUUGUAGGUUUUCUACAGGACUCCCUGCCGUUCUAGCCCUAAAGAUCAAGUCUUUUUGACGAUGGCAUCAUAGUACGGGUUAUGUGCUUAAUGGGUUGUGCAACUGGAGCUCUGGUACUUGGGAGGGUCUAACCCAAUCAAGUUCAGGUUCCUUUUUCCUUCCCAUUUUAUCUUCACAAACCCGCCUCCAUUAGCCAUUACAUUUUGAAUUCUGGGUACUUUUCUUAUUUAGAAGCACUAAAUGUUUCAACAAAUUUAUCAAUCACUGCUUUCUGUGACUUGUAUGCAUAUAAACUUAAUUGAGAAGCUAAGAUUCUGGGUUUAAUACCUUCAUAGAUGAAGUUUCAGUGGAAAUUUAUAUCAGAGAAUAGGCCCAAGUUCCAGUGUUUGAUGUUCACUAUAGGCAAAGCUUGAAGAACAUAAUCAUGUAAUAGAUUAAAGGCUUGAAACACUGUGAACUCAUUGGAUCAUCAUAAAUAGCAGGGGAAUGAUUUAUUCAAUAGAAAGAGGUAAGCUUCAGCUGAAUAUUGCCCCAAAUUCUAAUAGUGAUACAGGAGUGAACAUUACAAGGUACAACUCUCAUGUUCAAGAACAUAGUGAUGACAGAUUAUAUAUCCUCUUGAACAUUGGCAAACAGCCCUUUAUCUAAAACCCAGUCUUCAAUCAUAGCCUGAGCUCUCAAUGGCUGGUCUGUAGGCAAAAGAUGACCUGCACCAGAAACCACAACUUGGCUCAAACUCCCCCAUUUCUGAACAUAACCAGCAGUCUCUCCACCCAACUUCCACACAUUCCGAUCCGCCGCCAGAUACUUCUCUAUCCCUUCCCAUUUCAUGGUCUUUACCCAAGCCUCCGUGCCAUACACACCAUCUCGCAAAUCAUACUGGCCUUGAUACAACAACACCUUGCUGUUCUUCACAAGAAACUCCACCAUGUACUUCACACUCUUCAUCACAUCCGCAUGCAACACAUCUCCCACCAAAUCACUACACUCCUCGAAAACAGUCGACACAUUUGACACCCCCAAUGCCUUCUUCACUUCCUUGUGGCUCAACAAGUCCUCAACCAAACUAGUCGCGUAGUCGGCAUUCUUUGUGUAGUCAUACAAAGUAGCCAGCCCUGUCAUAUUUUGCAGCCUCCUCAAAACUCUGUUUCGACCAUCUGUUGCCGCACUCCAAUUCAUGGCCUUAAUCAGCCUCACCGCCUCAUGUUGAAGCUCCUCCAGCUCACCCUUCUGCCUUUCAUUGAUCAAACCAGAGUAGUAAGCAUUAUCAGCAUGAGUUGUCACCUGAAUCACCGGGUCUGUCAAGCCAUCUCCUAUAGCAACACCGCCUAAAUUCACACGCUUAGACUCACUCAGCUCGGCAUUCCUCUUCAAAAUGUAGUAGCCAAUAGCCGGAAUAUACUUCCCUGCAUAGCUCUCGCCAGUAAUGUAAAUAGGCCUCGACUUAAAAGCAGGAUCAAGCUCAACGAACUUGGUGAUUGCAGUAAACAAGUGUUUAGCAACUCCAAGCUGAUUAGUUGGUAUCUCUUCGGGCUUCGCAGCUAUGCUGAAUCCUGAUCCGAUGGGAUUGUCCAGAAAAAGCAAGCCGAAAAUGCGGUUCCAAGAACCAGAGUUGGGCUCCAAGGCGAGUGGCUCGGAGGGCUUCUUGUGGAAGUUCACGCGCCAUGGACCAAGCUCGAAGAAGUUGCCGAUCAUGGAGGAGCAGCCGGGGCCGCCCUGGAGCCAAAUGAGGAGUGGAGUUUGUGAGAGAGGUGAGAUUGGGGUUUGAGCUUCAUAGAAAGUGUAGUAUAUGGCUGAGUUUGAGGUGGGGUUUACUGGGAGGUAACCUGACUUUGUGGGGAGGGCUUGUUUGGGGAGGAGAGGCGGCGGUGAUGAGGCUGUGGUGCGGUGGAGGAGGAGGAGGAGGAGGAGGAGGAAACAUAGUAAGCAGAGGAGGUUUGGGGGUGUUGAUUCCAUUGUAGACUUUGGAGUGUACAAUGUUGAAUUGUCCAAAUGAUGAUAAGAUUGUAAGGCAACUAUGCUUACAUGCUGAAAGUGAUCGUGAUGUUUUGGGAUACUUCAUCAACAACAUGGCGCCAAAUAUAGCCGAACAAAAUCAACUUGGUUUUCUCCAAUCAAUAUUGGUCAAGCUGACUCACUCUGUACUGAUUCUCAAUCAUCGGUAUUGGUUGUCAGUCCUUUUCCAUUGAUAUUAUUGUGGUUCCUAUUGUAAAUCUUGAUUUUUUACCGUAUGCAUAAGAUCACCACAUUCACAAUUUGAAGAACCAAAAAGCAAACUUCUUGACCACGAAAAGAAACAAAUAACAAGCCGGCCAGCAAGCUUAGUUUACUCCAUGAUCAUUUACCAAGAAAGAAUUUACAUUAUACAAACUUAGAACAAUUGCUCAUCACCAAACAACCCUGUUUCCAAAAUCCAGCCUUCGAUCAUUGCCUGAGAGUUCAUUGGCUGGUCAGCCGGCACAAGAUGCCCUGCUCUUGAAACCACAACAUUGCUCAAACUCUUCCAUCUCUGCACAUACCCUGCAAGCUCAUCCCCUCUGCCUCUCCAAACCCUCCUCUCCGCCGCCAAAAACUUCCCAAUCUCCUCCCAUUCCAACGUCUUCACCCACGCUGUGGUCGAAAACACCCCAUCCCACAAAUCAAACUGCCCUUGAUACAACAACACCUUGCUCCUCUUCACCAACAACUCCACCAUGUACUUCACACUCUUCAUGUUAUCCUCAUACAAAGCAACUUUCACUACACGGCUGCAGUUUCUAAACACCGCCGACUCCUGCACAUUCAUAAUCCUCUUCACCCUUUCGUCGUGCAAAAAGUCAGUGAUCCAUUGAGUCUUGUGGUAAGGAGCUUUCUUGGAGUAGUCAAACAAUGUGGCCAAUCCUGUCAUGUCACUCAGCAUAUCCACAACUCGGUACCUAGCAUUGGUCGCAUCUCUCCAGCGUUUCAAUUUGGCUAGCCUGAUCGCCUCGUUCUGAUACAUCUCCAUCUCCCUCCUCUGUUUCUCAUUGAUCAAACCCGAAAAGUAAGCAUUGUCUGCAUGAGUGGCCACCUGAGUCUCCGGGUCAAUCAAACCAUUUCCUAUAGCAACGCCAGCUAAGUUAAUGACAUGAUCAGACUCAUCAUUCUUCUUGAGUAUAUAGUAGCCAAUUGCUGGCACGUACUUGCCAGCAUAGCUCUCGCCCACUACAUAAAGCGGACGAGAGCUAAACAACAUUGGAUCAAGUUCAAUAAACUUUGUGAUUGCAAUGUACAAAUGUUUAGCCAUCGAAAAUUGAUCUCUAGGGAUUUCCUCGCUGCUAGAGGCGAUGCUGAACCCGGAUCCUAUCGGAUUAUCAAGGAAAACAAGGCCGAAAAUCCGGUUCCAGGAACCGGGGUUAGGUUCAAGCACAAAGGCUUGGUUCUCAAGAUCAUGAUGGUGAUGGUAUAAGUUGACAUGCCAAGGACCAAUCUCCAUGAAGUUACCAAACAAGGAGGAGCAUCCGGGCCCACCCUGGAGCCAAAUGAGAAGUGGGGUUUGCGAGAGGUUAGGGAAGGUGAGGCUUUGUGCUUCAUAGAAGGUGUAGAAAAUGGAGGAGCCUGUGGUGGAGUUGACUUUGAGGUAGCCUGACAUGGUUGGCAAAGCUUGUUUGGGGAAGAGAGAGAUUGGUGCAGUAGUGAAGAAUGAAAACUUGGAGGGUGGCCAUAAGGACGAAGCUCGAUGAAGAUGGAAGAUGGGAAAGAGUUGAAGCAAUAUGAAAACAGAGAUGGAGAUGAAGAUGGUGAGCUUGAGAAGAAGCUUGAGGGUCGACGUUGACUCCAUUGGAGAUUUGCAGUAGGUGAUGCAUUGUCAUAUAGGGAUCCCUUGUCAUAUAUUAUUUUCUAGGAAGGACGACUAAUGCAUAGAGCGUUAUGGACGGAAACAGCAAUGUUAAUUUCCAUAUAAGCAGAAGUUUUAUAAUGGAGAAAAACAUUGCAUCGUAAUCAGAAUGUCGAAAAACAGGUUGUAUCGUAUUUUAAAUAGCAUGUACAAUUAAACCAGUUUUUUAACUAUGUGGGCUAGGCGGAGUCCAUGUAGAACUUGACAAAUGUCAUUUUAUAGUUCAUGUAAUGUAAUAAAGGUUAAUUUGGCCAAUAUCUAGUAACGUAAGAAAUGAAUUUGCUUUUGGACACAAUCAAGUUUAUUUCUGUAUUGCAGAAACAUGAAAAACGCGCGACGACUUUGAGCUUUCUCACUAGUUGCAGAGAAGGCUGAAGAGACGUGGCGAUUCCGGUGGUAGCUGUCGUUACGUCAACAAGAGGGAUCUUGAGAACAAAGCCGUUGCCGUUGCCGUUACCUUUUGUUUUUUAGAACAGAGGACGGGUUAGAUGUCCAAACCUCUAUUGAAAAAAUAAAAGAAUACAAAAAUAAUAAGAAAACAUUAAGCCUAACUCCUUAAUAAGAAAAAUUACCAAAAUGAUAAGAAGCUUUAACAGACAGAUAAACAAAAAUCAAUAUGCAACAAAAAAGUAACCUACCGAAAACGAAAGUUAGGGAGUCCCAUAUAGUCUUUGCGACAAUGAGAUAGAAUGAAAUGCGGAGGCAAAGGAAUGCCGUCGUCGUUACCUUUCAACGAGAAAGAUCUCAGGUACCCACCUUCAAACUAGACCCUGAAAUUUGCUUUCUUUAUGGUUCUGGUGAAUUGGGUUUUGGAGCUUCAUAGUUCGAUCUUACACAAUAUAAAGGUUUCAUCGCCAAGAUCGUAAAUUUAAUAUUCUCCCUCAAAUCUCUCCGCAAUAAUCUCUGACAAUUGCAGAAGACACAACCGAGUGUUGGACGAGAUGCCGGUGAUGAGGCUCUACAAUGGCUUCUAGACAUUCUCAAGAUUUAGAAGUUCCGAAGAAUCGUGUCGUAUACCGGCUUCUACUGAAGGUCCUAGAGGGGGGGGGGGGGUGAAUAGACCCUGACAACUUUUUUGCUCUAUCCCGCGUAUAAAGAUAGCAAAGAUUUGGCUAUCCUGUUUGAUGUGAGAUUAAGUUGUGUAAAUAAAAAGGCAAGUACUGAAAGUAAAGAUAUAACACUAGUACGUUUUUUACUCGCAAAAACCCUGUAACAGGGAGAAAAAUUGCGUGCCUCUAACUCUUGAGAGACAACCUUUUCCACUAUUGUUAACACACUUCUUACAAGACUCACAACUCAGAGUAUGGCAUAACACCUAGUCAUCCUGUCUAGUCUACCUAUUGCACUCAACUGAACCUGCUCUCUUGUCACUCAAGUGUUUUACACAUAGUACUAUUCUAAGCUUCUAAGUAGAAUUCAACUAACACCUUUAGCUAAUUCUCAAAGACAGCUUCGCUGGUUGCAUCACCUAGAUAGACCUCAAGGUAUGCAAAUGCACAAUGAUAUGAGUUUGAAAAGGUUUUGGUGCUCAGCUCUAAGAUUGACAGUCACAAUGAAGACUUAGAGAUAAAUGAGCAAUUAGCAAAAUGCUAGACUCAAUGAUAGAAAACAAACAAGACUAUUUUCAACAACCAAAAAGCAAGAGAGGCCUUGCUCUCUAUUUAUAGGCCAAGUGCACAGCUAUGAGGAAGCAAACACGUCAACCACAUCAAUAAAGCUUCUUUUGGACUUUAGCUAUUUGUCUGAAAAAUUAGGACAGAUAGGAUCAUAGCAAUCAUUCCAUUCAUAAGACAAAAGCUAAGAAAGACUUUCCCUAAGAGGAAUAAAGCCAAAAGAAAAAGACAAAUGGUUUUGGAAAACUUAAUUAGUUUUAGUCAAGCACAAGGACUCUACAAAACCACUUUUUCUAAUAGGACACUUAGGACAGCUGAUCUCUUGGGCGGUGCAUCAUGUGGGCCAGUUGCUGACUUGGUUUGCGUAUCACAAAACCCAGCUGGUCACCUAAGGCUCAAGUCAUGUGGUCACAGAUUGGUUUGCCACGCCAUCAAGAACAAGUGAUGGUAUAGAGGGCCAAAAACUCUUAUGAAUCACAAACUGUGGGAUACCAAGAUAAUCAUGCAUCAACAUAAUAGCAUAAACAACUAAACAACAUAAGUCAUGAAUUGAAACACACAACCUUCAUAAAUAAACAAGAGUUUUAACAAACAUAAAACAAGUGGUUCUCCCCUUUUUUGGCAGUAAAUGCCAAAGGGAAACAUAGAACAUCAAAAUCCGAGACCACUAGAAACAGAUGUCAACAUGAAAUAAUCAAUCGAGAAUGGAUAAAAAACAACAUCAAUGCAAAGAAAUGCAUCAUAAAUCCCAAGCAGGGUUCCAAGCAGGUCUAGACAGGUCUUGACGGCCUCUAAGUGGGUCUUGGCGGUCCCUAAGCGGGUCUACGAGGGCCAAGGUGGUCCCUUGGUAGGUCAAAGCGGCCCCUUGGUAGCCCUAAGUGGGUCUCGGUAGCAUCUUAGUGGCCCUAGACGGCCUCUAAGUGGGUCUAGAUGGUUCAUAAGUGGGUUUAGGUGGUUCCUAAACGGAUCUAGGUGGUCCUUACGUUUGUCUAGGAGGGCCAAGACGGUCCCUUAACAUGUCAAGGCGGUCCCUUGGCAGGACAAGGUGGGUCAAAGCAGCCCCUUGGCAUGUCGAUGAGGGUCAAGGCACUCAAGGCGGUCCUCGGCGGGUCAAGGUGGUUCAAAGCAGCUCCUUGGCGGCUCUCGGUGGGUCAAUGCGACCCAUUACCGGCCCUAGGCGGGUCUCGAUAGUCCCUAGGCGGUCCUUACGCGGGUUCUAAGUAGGUCUAGGCAGAGACCCCUACGUUGGUCUAGGUGGGCCAAGGCGGUCCCUUGGCAUGUCAAGACGGGUUAAAGCGGCACUUGGGCAUGUUAAGCUGGUCAAAACGGCCCCUUGGUAGGUCAAGGCGGGUCAAGGCAGUCUUUUGGCAUGUCAAGGUGACCCCUUGGCGGCUCUCGGCAGGUUAAAGCGGUCCCUUGCCGGCCCUCGACGAGUCAAUGUGGCCCACUAGCGGCCCUAGGCGGGUCUUGGCAGCCCCUAGGCGGUCCCUACGCAGGUUCUAAAUAGGUCUUGACAAACCUAGGUGGGUCAAGGUGGCCUUUAAGCGGGUCUAGGAGGUUCCUUAACGGGUCUAGGUGGUCCCUACAUGGGUCUAGGUGGGCCAAGGUGAUCCCUUGGCAUGUCAAUACGUAUUAAAGCGGCCUCUUGGCAUGUCAAGGCGGUCUCUUGGCAGGUCAAGGGGAGUCAAAGCAGCCCCUUGGCGGGUCAAGGUUGCCCACUAGUGCCCUAGACGGGUCACGGCAGGCCUUUGGCUUGUCUAGGCUAAACCUAAGAGGGUCUAGGUGGUCCCUACGCAGGUUCUAAGAAUGUUUAGGCAGGUCUUGAUGACCCUAGGCAAGUCAAGACGCAUUCUCGGCGGCUCUAAGUGGGCCUCGACAACCCCAUAGCGGCCCUAGGCGGCCUCUAAGCGGGUCUAGGUGGGCCAAGGCGGUCCAUUGGCAUGUCAAUGCGGGUCAAAGCAGCUCCUUGGCAUGUCAAGGAGAGUCAAGACGAAUCAAGGCGGUCAAGGCGGUCCCUUAGCGGCCUCUAAGUGGGUCUAGGCGGGUCUAAGAGGUUCCUAAGCGGGUUUAGAUGGUCCGUAAGCAGGUCUAGGUGGUCUCUACGUGGGUCUAGGAGGGCUAAGGUGGUUCAUUGGCAUGUUAAGGCAGGUUUAAGAGCUAUUUUUGCAUGUGAAGGCGGGUCAAGGCGGUCCCUCGGUGGCCCUCGACGGGUCUCGGUAGCCUAUUGGCGGGUCCAGGCAACUCCUAAGCAGGUCUAGGCGGUCCCUCAGCGGCCCUAAGUGGGUCUCAGCAGACUCUUAGCAGCCCUAGGCGGCCUCUAAGCGGGUCUAGGUGGUUCCCGAACAGGUUUAGGCGGUCCCUAAGCGGGUCUAGGUGCUCCCUACGUGAGUCUAGGAGGGCCAAAGCAGUCUCUUGGCAUGUCAAAGCGGGUCAAAGCGGCCCCUUGACUUAUCGAGGUGGGUCAAGGCGGGUCAAAGGGGCCCCUAGCCAUGUCAAGGAGGGUAAAGGUAGUUAAGGCGGUCCCUUGGCAUGUCAAGGCUGCCCCUUGGCGAGUCAAGGUGGGUUAAAGCAGGUUAAAAUGGCCCCUUGGUGGGUCAAGGUGGGUUAAAGCUGGUCAAUACGGCCCACUAGCGGCCUUAGGCAGGUCUCGACAGCCCCUAGGUGGCCCCUACGUGGGUUCUAAGCAGGUCUAGGCAUGUCUUGACACCACUAGGUUUGUGAAGACGCCCCCUUGGCGGCUCUAGCCAGCCUCUAAGCGGGUCUAGGCGGUUCCUAAGUGGGUCUAAGUGGUCCCUACAUGGGUCUAGGUGGGCCAAGGCAGGUCAAAAUGGCCCUUGGGCAUGUCAAGGUGGUCAAAGCGGUCCCUUGGCAGGCCAAGGCGGGUCAAAGUGGCCACUUGGCAUGUCAAGGCGGGUCAAGGUAGUUAAGGCGGUCCCUUGGCAUGUCAAGGCAGCCCCUUGGCGGCCCUCGACGGGUUAAAGUGGCCCCUUAGCGGCCCUCGGCGGGUUAAUGCGGCCUACUUGCUGCCCUAGGCAGGUCUCGGCAACCCCUAGGCUGUCCCUACGCGGGUUCUAAGCAAGUUUAGGAAGGUCUUGACAGACCUAGGCGGGUCAAGGCGCGCCCCCUUGGCGGCUCUAGGCGGCCUCUAAGCGGGUCUAGGUGGUCCGUAAGCGGGUUUAAGCGGUCCGUAAGCGGGUCUAGGUGGUCUCUACAUGGGUCUAGGUGGACCAAGGCAGUCCCUUGGCAUGUCAAUGCUGGUCAAAGCGGUCAAGGCGGGUCAAAGCGGCCCCUUGGCGGCUCUCAAUGGGUCAAGGCGGUCCACUAGCAGCCCCUUGGCAUGUCUAGGCUAUACCUAAACUGGUCUAGGCAGUCCGUAUGCGGGUUUUAAGAAUGUUUAGGUAGGUCUUAACGACCCUAGGCAAGUCAAGGCGCCCCUUCGGCGACCUUAAGUGGGUCUCGGCAGCCCCUUAGCGGCCUUUAAGCAGGUCUAGGUGGUUCCUAAGCGGGUUUAAACGGUCCGUAAGCGGGUCUAGGUGGUCCCUACGUGGGUCUAGGAGGGCUAAAGCGGCCUCUUGGCUUGUCAAGGCUGGUCCAAGCGGUCCCUUGGUAGGUCAAGGCGGGUCAAGGCGGUCAAGGCGGGUCAAGGCGGUUAAGGCGGUCCCUUGGCAGGUUAAGGCAGGUCAAAGCGGCCCCUUGGCAUGUCAAGGCGGGUCAAGGUGGUUAAGGCGGUCUCUUGGCAGGUCAAGGCAGGUCAAAGUGGCCCCUUGGCAUGUCAAGGCGGGUUAAAACGACCCCUUGGUAGAACAAGGCGGGUUAAAGUGGCCUCUUGACAUGUCAAGGCGGGUCAAGGUGGUUAAGGCGGUCUCUUGGCAGGUCAAAGUGGGUCAAAGCGGCCCCUUGGCAGGUCAAGGCGGGUCUAGGAAGGUCUAGGAGGGUCAAAGCGGCCCCUUGGCGUCUCGCGGCGGGUCAAGGUGGGUCACUAACGGCCCUAGGUGAGUCUCGAUAGUCCCUCGGCGGGUUUAGGCUAAACCUAAGCGGGUUUAGGCGGACCCUAUGCGGGUUCUAAGAAGGUCUAGGCAUGUCCUAAUGGCCUUAGGUAGGUUAAGGCGCCCCCCUCGGCAGCCCUAAGUGGGUAUCAAUAGCCCUUUAGCAGCCCUAGGCGGCCUCUAAGCGGGUCUAGAUAGUCUUACAUGGGUUUAGGAAGGCCAAGACGGGUUAAAGCGGCUCCUUGUCUUGUCAAGGUGGGUCAAGGCGGUCCCUUGGUAGGUUAAGGUGGGUCAAAGUAGCCCCUUGGCAUGUUAAGGCGGUAAAGGCGGUCCCAUGGAAGGUCAAGGCGGGUCAAGGGGGUCCUUGGCUGCUCAAAGCGGGUCAAAGCAGCCCCUUGGCUGUCCUCGGUGGGUCAAGGCUCGUCAAAGCGGCCCUUUGGCGGCCUUCUACGGGUCUAGGUAGCCCUUUGGGGGGUCUAGGCUAAAUCUAAACAGGUCUAGGGGGUCCCUACGCGGGUUCUAAGAAGAUCUAGGCAGGUUUUGGCGGCCUUAGGUGGGUCAAGGCGCCCCCUUAGUGGCCCUAGGCGGCCUCUAAGCGGGUUAGGUGGUUCCUAAACGGGUCUAGGCGGUUCCUAAGCUGGUCUAGGUGGUCCCUAUGUGGAUCUAGGAGGGCCAAGGCGGAUCAAAGCGGCCCCUUGGCGACCCUCAGGGGUCAAGACGGCCCGCUAGCGACCCUAAGCGGGUCUCGGCAGCCCCUUGGCGGGUCUAAGCGGUCCUUACACGGGUUCUAAGAAGGUCUAGGCAAGUCUUGACGGCCUUAGGCGGGUCAAGGCGCCCCCUCGGUGGCCCUAAGUGGGUCUCGGUAUCCCCUUAGCAGCCCUAGAUGGCCUCUAAGCGGGUCUAGGUGGUUUAGACAGUCCCUAAGCAGGUCUAGGUGGUCCCUAUGUGGGUCUAGGAGGGGUGUCAAAGGACCGCCUUAACCCAUCUAGGGCCGCCAAGGGGCCGCCGUGACCCGCUAAGGGGCUGCCUUGACUCGGCUAGAGCCGUCGAGGGGUCGUCUUGACCUGCCUAAGGCCGCUAAGCGGCCGCCUUAUCCCUCCUAGUGCCGUCAAGUUGCCGCCUUGACUUGCCUAGGCCCGCCUUGACCUAUCUUGAACCGCGUUGGGCCGCCUUGGCCCUCCUAGACCUGCCUAGGGCCACCAUGACUUGCCAAGGGGUUGUCAUGGUUCUCCUAGGGCCGCCAAGAGGCCGCCUUUGCCCAUCUAGGGCCACUUUGACCCGGCUAGGGCCGCCAAGGGGUCACGUUCACCCGUCUAAGGUCGCCAAUGGGCCGCUUUGACCCUCCUAGGCCCGUCUAUACCCCACCUUGGCCUGCCUUGGGUCGCCUUAACCGCCUUGACCUUCCUCGGCCUGCCUAAGGCAACCAAGGGGCCGCUUGACUUGCCAAAGGGCUGUCUUGACCCUCCUAGGCUCGGCCCGUCUAGGGUCACCAAGGGGCCACCAUGACUCGCCAAGGCAGCCAAAGGGCCGCUUUGACACGUUUUGAGGCAGCAAGAGAACAAAACUUGAUGGAAAAUUUUGUAAGAUGUGAGGCAGCAAUACUCAAGGAUACCAUGAAGCACAAGUUUGAAAAUAAGAAAAAUGAUUUAAUGUAGCUUGAGAAAGCAUGUACUGAUCAACUGAUGUCACGUUUACAAUCCUUGCAACUAUAUACAUUUCUGUUAUGCCAUGGACUACAACUAAACAAAUAAGCACCACUCUUUUUUUUUUUUUUUUCUUCUUUCUAGCAAAGAUGAUGUAUACUAGCUAGGUCUAUUUUGGACAAAUCAUGCCUCUUUGUAACACAAACAAGAAUUAUAUAACAUUUCAUUUAUUUGAAGUCCUAUUAGCUUCUUUCUAAUUCUCUUUUUGUUGAAAGUUCCUUUUUUUUUAGUUUCUAAGAGAACUUUUAUUUUCGUUACUAAAACGAACAAGUACUUACACAUAUAUAUAUAUAGAAAUAUAUAUAUAUAUAUAUAUGUAUAUAAUGUAGAUAAAUUAUUUUUAGCAGUUUCGAGAUUUAAUAAGACAAGUCAAGGCGGCCCCUUUGCGGCUCUAAACAGGUCAUGUUGGCUACACUAGACAGGUCAAGGCGGGUUAAGACGAUCCCUUGGUGGUACCUUGGUGGCCCCUUAGCGGCCAUAACCAGGUCAAGGCGGCCCUAGAUGGGCCUAGGAGGGUCAAGACGGCCCUAGGUUGGUCAAAGAGGGUCAAGGCAGCCACUUGGCAGCUUUAGACGGGUGAACGCGACCCCUUGGCGACCCUAGGAGGGUCAAGGAUGGUCAAGGAGGGUCAAGACAGCCCUAGACGGGCCUAGAAGGAUCAUGAUGACCCCUUGGUGGCCCUAGACGGGUCUAAGAGGAUCAUGGCGGCCCCUUGGUGGCCCUAGGCGGGCCUACGAGGGUCAAGGCGGCCCUAGGCGGGUCUAGGAGGGUCAAGGAGGCCCAAGGUAGGUUAAGGCGGGCUAGGGCGGGUCAAGACGUCCGCUUAGCGACCCUAGGCAAGUCAAGGCGGCCCCUUGGCGGCUCUAGGUGGGUCAAGUUGGCCCAUUGGUGGUCUUAGGAGGGUCAAGGAGGCCCAUUGGCAGCCCCUUAGCGGUCCUAGGCUGCCCCUUGGCGGCCUUAGGUGGGUCAGGGCCGGCCUUUGGCUGCCAUAGGAGGGCCCUUAGGCGGCCCUAAGCGAGUCAUGGCGGCCCUUUGGCUGACUUAGACGGGCCUAGCAGGGCCGAGGAGGGUCAAGGCGGGUCAAUGCGGCCUAAGGCAGCCCAAGGCGGGUCAAGGCGGCCCAAAAAAAGUAAACUAGAUAGAAACUCGUGUGUUAUAGCAAAUGGUUUUCGCUCGAAUUGGGUGAAAUUUGAAAUGAGGGGCAAUACCUCAUUUUCUUUUAAAAUUAAGAUUCCCGGUGUUAAUAUGAAAAGAAUUGAAGAAAACAGAAUCUUGGAAAGUCACUUGAUUCUAAUUAUAACAGCAAUUUCAACAGCUUUAUAAAACACGGCACGCGUGAGUUUAUUUAGGCCUGAUCGCGAGUAAAUUGAUAAAAGACACGGAUUUUGGAAGCUAGAAUGGAUCACUAUAUGUUAGGAGGUGUCUGUAAGCACACCUAAACGGAAAAAGCCGGAGGCCCAAUAAAAGUGAAACUUGCCAAAAACUCGUGUAGCAAAGUGUUGUUGCUCGAAUUGGGUGAAACUUGAAAUGGGGGAUAAUACCAUAUUUUCUUUUGAAACUAAGGUUUCUAAUGUCAAUAUAUAUGAGAAGAAUUGAAGAGAACAUAAUCUUAAAAAGUCACUCAAUACCAAUUAAAACAACAAUUUUAACUGCUUUACAAAAUACGGCACGCGUGAGUUAUUUAGCCCCAAUCGCAAAUAAAUUGAUAAAUGACAAAGAUUUUUGAAGCUAGAAUAGUUCAAUAUAUGUUAGGAGGUGUCUAUAAGCACACCCGAACGGAAAAGCCGGAGGCCUAAAAAAAGUGAAACUUGCCGGGAACUCGUGUGUUUUAGCUCGAAUUGAGUGAAACUUGAAAAGAGGGACAAUACCUUAUUUUCAUUUGAAACUAAUGUUUCCAAUGUUAAUAUGAGAAGAAUUGAAGAGAACACAAUCUUAAAAAGUCACUGAAUACCAAUUAAAACAUCAAUUUCAACAGUUUUACAAAACACAGAUUUUUGAAGCUAGAAUGGUUCACUAUAUGUUAGGGGGUGUCUGUAAGCACACCCGAACGAAAAAAGCCAGAGGCCUAAACAUAGUGAAACUUGCCGGGAACUCGUGUGUUAAAGCAAGGGGUUUUGGCUCGAAUUGGGUGAAAUUUGAAAUGAGGGACAAUACCUCAAUUUCUUUUGAAACUAAGGUUUCCAAUGUCAAUAUGAGAAGAAUUGAAGAGAACGUAAUUUUAAAAAGUCACUCAAUACUAAUUAAAAUAGCAAUUUCAACAGCAUUACAGAACACGGCACGCAUGAGAUUAUUUAGGCCCGAUCUCAAGUAAAUUGAUAAAAGACACNNNNNNNNNNNNNNNNNNNNNNNNNNNNNNNNNNNNNNNNNNNNNNNNNNNNNNNNNNNNNNNNNNNNNNNNNNNNNNNNNNNNNNNNNNNNNNNNNNNNNNNNNNNNNNNNNNNNNNNNNNNNNNNNNNNNNNNNNNNNNNNNNNNNNNNNNNNNNNNNNNNNNNNNNNNNNNNNNNNNNNNNNNNNNNNNNNNNNNNNNNNNNNNNNNNNNNNNNNNNNNNNNNNNNNNNNNNNNNNNNNNNNNNNNNNNNNNNNNNNNNNNNNNNNNNNNNNNNNNNNNNNNNNNNNNNNNNNNNNNNNNNNNNNNNNNNNNNNNNNNNNNNNNNNNNNNNNNNNNNNNNNNNNNNNNNNNNNNNNNNNNNNNNNNNNNNNNNNNNNNNNNNNNNNNNNNNNNNNNNNNNNNNNNNNNNNNNNNNNNNNNNNNNNNNNNNNNNNNNNNNNNNNNNNNNNNNNNNNNNNNNNNNNNNNNNNNNNNNNNNNNNNNNNNNNNNNNNNNNNNNNNNNNNNNNNNNNNNNNNNNNNNNNNNNNNNNNNNNNNNNNNNNNNNNNNNNNNNNNNNNNNNNNNNNNNNNNNNNNNNNNNNNNNNNNNNNNNNNNNNNNNNNNNNNNNNNNNNNNNNNNNNNNNNNNNNNNNNNNNNNNNNNNNNNNNNNNNNNNNNNNNNNNNNNNNNNNNNNNNNNNNNNNNNNNNNNNNNNNNNNNNNNNNNNNNNNNNNNNNNNNNNNNNNNNNNNNNNNNNNNNNNNNNNNNNNNNNNNNNNNNNNNNNNNNNNNNNNNNNNNNNNNNNNNNNNNNNNNNNNNNNNNNNNNNNNNNNNNNNNNNNNNNNNNNNNNNNNNNNNNNNNNNNNNNNNNNNNNNNNNNNNNNNNNNNNNNNNNNNNNNNNNNNNNNNNNNNNNNNNNNNNNNNNNNNNNNNNNNNNNNNNNNNNNNNNNNNNNNNNNNNNNNNNNNNNNNNNNNNNNNNNNNNNNNNNNNNNNNNNNNNNNNNNNNNNNNNNNNNNNNNNNNNNNNNNNNNNNNNNNNNNNNNNNNNNNNNNNNNNNNNNNNNNNNNNNNNNNNNNNNNNNNNNNNNNNNNNNNNNNNNNNNNNNNNNNNNNNNNNNNNNNNNNNNNNNNNNNNNNNNNNNNNNNNNNNNNNNNNNNNNNNNNNNNNNNNNNNNNNNNNNNNNNNNNNNNNNNNNNNNNNNNNNNNNNNNNNAAUCUUAAAAAGUCACUGAAUACCAUUAAAACAGCAAUUUCAAGAGCUUUACAAAAUACGGCAUGCGUGAUAUUAUUUAGACCCGAUCACGAGUAAAUUGAUAAAAGGCACAGAUUUUUAAAGCUAGAAAGAUUUACUAUAUGUUAGGAGGUGUCUGUAAGCACACCCGAAUGGAAAAAACCGGAGGCCUAAAAAAAGUGAAACUUGCCGGGAACUUGUGUGUUAUAGUAAAGGGUUUUGACUCGAAUUGGGUGAAACUUGAAAUGAGGGACAAUACCUCAAUUUCUUUUGAAACUAAGGUUUCCAAUGUCAAUAUGAGAAGAAUUGAAGAGAACAUAAUUUUAAAAAGUCACUCAAUACUAAUUAAAAUAGCAAUUUCAACAGCAUUAUAGAACACAGCACGCAUGAGAUUAUUUAGGCCCGAUCUCAAGUAAAUUGAUAAAAGACACAGAUUUUUAAAGCUAGAAAAGUUCACUAUAUGUUAGGAGGUGUCUCGAAGCACACCCGAACGAAAAAAGCCGGAGGCCUAAAAAAAGUGAAACUUGCCGGGAACUCGUGUGUUAUAGCAAGGGGUUUUGGCUCGAAUUGGGUGAAACUUGAAAUGAGGGACAAUACCUCAAUUUCUUUUGAAACUAAGGUUUCCAAUGUCAAUAUGAGAAGAAUUGAAGAGAACAUAAUUUAAAAAAGUCACUCAAUACUAAUUAAAAUAGUAAUUUCAACAACAUUACAAAACACGGCACGCGUAAGAUUAUUUAGGCCCGAUCUCAAGUAAAUUGAUAAAAGACAAGGAUUUUUGAAGGCGGGUCAAGUCGGCUGCUUAGCGGCCCUAGGCAGGUCAAGGAGGCCCUAGGCAGGUUUGGGAGGGCUUAGGAGGGUCAAGGCGGCCCAAGGCGGUUCAAGGCGGCCCAAGGAGGGUCAAGGCAGCCGAAGACGGGCCCAUGCAGGUCAAGGUGGCCCCUUGGCAGACAUAUGCAGCCCCUUGGCGGCUCUAGGGAGGUCAAAGCAGCCUUAGGCGUGUAAAGGCAGCCCCUUGGCGGGUUAAGAGGUCCCCUUGGCGGCCCUAGGCGUGUCAAGGCGGCCCCUUUGGUGGCCCUAGGAAUGUUAAGGCGACCUGUUGGCGGCCCUAGACAGGUCAAAGCGUGUAUGGCUAGGUGGGCCGAGGAGGGUGAAGGUGGCCCAAGGCAGUCCAAGGCGGGUCAAGCUAGGUCAAGGCGAGCCAAGGAGGGUCAAGGCUGGCCAAGGAGAGGGUCAAGGGGGUCCAAGGCAGACCAAGGCGGGUCAAGGUGAGCCAACGCGGCUCAAGGCGGUCCAAAACGGGUCAAGGUGGCCCAAGGCGGUCCAAGGCGGGUUAAGGUGGGCCAAAAUGGUUCAAGGCUAUUCAAAGAGGGUCAUGGCGGGCUAAGGCGGCCCUAGACCGGCCUAGAAGGGUCAUGGUGACCCCUUAGCGUGUCAUGGCGGCUUCUUGGUGGCCCUAAGUGGGUUUAGGUGGGUCAAGGCGGCCCAUGGCGGCCUAAGGCGGGUCAAGACGAUCCAAGGCGGGUCAACGAAGGUCAAGGCGGGUUAAGGCGGCCUAAGGCUUUCCAUGGUGAGUCAUGGCGGCUUCUUGGUGGCCCUAGGUGUGUGUACGAGGGUCAAGACGGGUCAAGGCAGGCCAAGGCAAGUCAAGGCGGUCGAAAGUGGGCCAAGGCGGCCCAAAGAAGGCCAAGGUGGGUUAAAGGCGGGUCAAGGCUGGCCAAGGCUGGUCAAGGCAGUCGAAAGGGGGCCAAGGCGGGUCAAGGUGGCCCUAGGAAGCCCCUUGGUGGGAUUAGGAGGGUUAAGGUGGCUCUAGGCUGGUCUAUGAGGGUGAAGGCGGCCCAACGCAGUUCAAGGUGGGUGAAAGCGGCCCAAGGUGAAUCAAAGCGGGUCAAGGUGGCCCAAGACAAUCCAAAGCAGCCUAAGGCGGGUCAAGGUGCCCCUUUGGCCGUCCCUUGGCUGCCCUNNNNNNNNNNNNNNNNNNNNNNNNNNNNNNNNNNNNNNNNNNNNNNNNNNNNNNNNNNNNNNNNNNNNNNNNNNNNNNNNNNNNNNNNNNNNNNNNNNNNNNNNNNNNNNNNNNNNNNNNNNNNNNNNNNNNNNNNNNNNNNNNNNNNNNNNNNNNNNNNNNNNNNNNNNNNNNNNNNNNNNNNNNNNNNNNNNNNNNNNNNNNNNNNNNNNNNNNNNNNNNNNNNNNNNNNNNNNNNNNNNNNNNNNNNNNNNNNNNNNNNNNNNNNNNNNNNNNNNNNNNNNNNNNNNNNNNNNNNNNNNNNNNNNNNNNNNNNNNNNNNNNNNNNCGGCCCUAGGCGGGUCAUGGCAAUCCUUGCGGAGGUCAAACAGCCCUAGGCGUGUAAAGGCAGCCCCUUGGUGGGUUAAGAGGUCCUUUGGCGGCCCUAGGUGAGUCAUGGCGGCCCCUUGGCUACCCUAGAAGGGCCAAGGAUGGUCAAGGCGGGCCAAGGCGGGUUAAGGCGGGUUAUGACGAGCCAAAGCGAUCUAGAGCGGGUUAAGGCGGCCAUAGGCUGCCCCUUGGCGGUCUAGGAGGGUCAAGGCGGCCUGAGGUGGGUCUAGGAGGGUCAAGGUGGCCCAACGCGGUUCAAGACGGGACAAAGCAGCCUAAGCCGGGUCAAGACGGGACAAGGCGCCCCUUGGCUGCCCUAGGGGGUCCUAGAAGAGCCGAAGAGGGUCAUGGCGUCCCCUUGGCGAGUCAUGGCGGUUUCUUGUUAGCCCUAGGUGGGUCUAGGAGGGUCAAGAUGGCCCAAGGCGGUUCAAGGCGGGUAAAGGAGGGCAAGAGGGCCCAUGGUGGCCUAAGGCGGGUUAAGGCAGGUCAAGGCGGGUUAAGGCGGGCCAAGACAGGUCAAGGCGGGUCAUGGCGGUCCAUGGCAGGUCAAGGCGGUCUAUGGCGGGUUAAGGCGGCUUUAAGGCAGGUCAAGACUCCCCCUUGGCCGCCCUAGGUGGGCUUAGAAUAGCCAAGGUGGGCUUAGACUCCCCCUUGGCCGUCAUGGUGACCCCUUGGCGAGUCAUGGCGGCUUCUUGGUGGCCUUGGUGGGUCUAGGAUGGUCAAGGCAAGUCAAGGCAGCCCAAGGCGGGUUAAAGUGGGUCAAGGCAGGUCAUGGCGAGUCAUGACAAUUCAUGGCGGCUUCUUGGAGGGUCAAGGCGGCCCUAAGCGGGUUAAGGUGGCCCAAGGCGGUCUAUGGCGGCUUCAUGGCGGCCCUAGGCGAGUCUAGGAGGGUCAAGGCGGCCUAAAGUAGUUCAAAGUGGGUAAAGACAGCCUAAGGUGGGUCAAGACGGGUCAAUGUGGCCGAAGACAGGCCAAAACGGGUCAAGGUGGCCCCUUGGCAGACGUAGGUAGCCCCUUGGCGGCCCUAGGGAGGUCAAAACAACCCUAAGCGUGCAAAGGCAGCUCCUUGGUGGUUUAAGACGUCCCUUUGGUGGCCCUAGGCGUGUCAAGGCAUCCCUCUUGGCAGCCUUAGACGGGUCAAGGCGUGUAAGGGCUGCCCCUCGGUGGCCCUAGGUGGGUCAUGGCGCCCCCUUGGCUGCCCUAGGUGGGCCUAGAAGGGCCGAGGAGGGUCAAGGCGGUAGGGUCUAGGACGGCCAUGGCGACGCCUUUGCAAGUCAUGACGGCUUCUUGGUGACACUAGGCAGCUCAAGGCUGGCCAAGGCGGGUCAACGCGGCUCAAGUCGCUCAAAGGCGGGUCAAGGCGGUUAAAAGCUGCCCAAGGCAGUCCAAGUGGGCUCAAGUACUAGUGGCUUCUUGGUGGCACGAGGCAGCCCAAGGCGGUUCAAGGCGGUUCAAGACGGGCCAAGGCAUGUCAAGGCAGGCCAAGGAGGGCCUAAACGGGUCAAGGCGGGCCAACGUGGCUCAAGUCAGUCAAAAAGGGGUCAAGGCGGGUCAAGGAAGGCCAAAACGGUUCAAGGCGGGUCAAGGCGGGUCAAGGAGGGUCAAGGUGGGAUAAGGCGUGCCAAAGCGAUCCUAGGCGGCCCUAGACGGGCCUAGGAGGGUCAUGGUGACCCCUUGGCGUGUCUUGGCGGUUCUUGGUGGCUCUAGGUGGGUUUACGAGGGUAAAGGCGGCUCAAGGCGGGUCAAGGUGGCCCAUGGCGGGCCAAGGCAGGUCAAGGCGGCCCAAAGCAGUCUAUGGCGAGUCAUGGCGGCUUCAUGGUGGUGCUCGGCAAGUCUAGGCGGGUCAAGGCUGUCCAAGGCGGGCUAAGAUAGUCCAAGGCAGGACAAGGUGGCCCAAGGCAGGUCAAGGUGGCCACUUGGCGGACGUAGGCAGCUCCUUGGCGGUCCUAGGGAGGUCAAAACAGUCCUAAGCGUGUAAAGACAGCCCCUUGGUGGGUUAAGACGUCCCCUUGGUGGCCCUAGGUGUGUCAAGGCGGUCCCCUUGGUGGCCCUAGGAAUGUUAAAGCGGCCCUAAAUAGGUCAAGGCGUGUAAGGGCUGCCCCUUGGCGGCCCUAGGUGGGUCUAGAAGGGCCGAGGAUGGUCAAGGCCUUAGGGCCUAGGAGGGUCAUGGCGACGCCUUUGCAAGUCAUGGCGGCUUCUUGGUGGCACUAUGCAGCCCAAGGUGGUUCAAGGCGGGCCAAGGAGGGUAAAGGCGGGCCAAAGCAGGCCAAUGCGGGUCAAGGAGGGUCAAGGCGGGCUAAAGCGGCCGUAGACGAGCCUAGGAGGGUCAUGGUGACCCCUUAGCGUGUCAUGACUGCUUCUUGGUGGCCCUAGGUGGGUUUAGGUGGGCCGCCACCCAUGGCGGGUUAAGGCGGGUCAAGGCAGGUUAAGGCGGGUUAAGGCGGCCUAAGGCGUUCCAUGGCGAGUCAUGGUGUUUUCUUGGUGGCCCUAGGCGUGUCUACGAGGGUCAAGGCAGGCCAAGGCGGUCGAAAGUGGGCCAAGGCGGCCUAUGGUGGGUUAAAGGCGGGUCAAGGUGUGCCAAGGUUGGUCAAGGCGGGUCUAGGCGGCCCUAGGAAGCCCCUUUGCGGGUCUAAGAGGGUUAAGGCGCCUCUAGGCAUGUCUAUGAGGGUCAAGGCGGCCUAACACGGUUCAAGGCGGGUGAAGGCGGCCCAAAGCGGGUCAAGGCGCCCGAUUGGCCGCCCCUUGGCUGCCCUAGAUGGGCCUAGAAGAGACAAGGAGGGUUAUGACGACCCCUUGGUGAGUCAUGGCGGCUUUUUGGUGGCCCUAGACUGGCCUAAGAGGGUCAAGGCGGCUUCUUGGUGGCCCUAGGUGGGUCUAGGCGGCCCAAGGCAGUUUAAGGAGGCCCAAAACGGGUCAAGGCGACCCAUGGUAGCCUAAGGCGGGUAAAGGCUGCCCAAGGCGAUCCAGGGCGGGUGAUGGCAGGUCAAUUCGGGGGGUCAAGAUGGGUCAAGGUGGCCCCUUAGCAGACGUAUGCAGCCCCUUGGCGGGUCAUGGCGGUCCUUGAGGAGGUCAAAACAGCCUUAUGUGUGUAAAGGCAGCCCCUUGGCAAGUUAAGAGGUCCCCUUGGCGGCCCUAGGUGGGUCAUGGCGGCCCCCUUGGCUACCCUAGAAGGGCCGAGGAUGGUCAAGGCGAGCUAAGACGGGUCAAGGCGGGUUAAGGUGGUUCAAGGCGGGUUAAGGCGAGUUAAGGCGAGCCAAGGCGGUCUAAGGCAGGUUAAGGCGGCCCAAGGCGGGGUCAAGGCAGCCAUAGGCAGCCCCUUGACGGGUCUAGGAGGGUUUAGGAGGGUAAAGGCGGCCCAAGGCGGGUAAACUAAGCAAGCUAAGGUGGCCAAUGGUAGCCCAAGGCAGGUCAAGGAGGGUCUAAGCGAGUCAAGGCGGGUCUAGGCGGCCCAACGCAGUCUGUGGCGAGUCAUGGCGGCUUCAGGGUGGCGCUCGGCGAGUCUAGGCGGGUCAAGGCGGCCCAAGGCGGUUCAAAGCGGGUCAAGGCGGGCCAAGACAGUCCAAGGCGGGUCAAGGUGGCCCCUUGGCGGACGUAGGCAGCUCCUUGGCGGCCCUAGGGAGGUCAAAACAGUCCUAAGAGUGUAAAGGCAGCCUCUUGGUGGGUUAAGACGUCCCCUUGGCGGCCCUAGACAUGUCAAGGCGGCCCUAGGAAUGUUAAGGCGGCUUCUUGGUGGCCCUAGACGGGUCAAGGCGUGUAAGGGCUGCCUCUCGACGGCCCUAGGUGGGUCAUGGCACCCCUUUGGCUGCCCUAGGUGGGCCUAGAAGGGCCGAGGAGGGUCAUGGCGACGCAUUUGCAAGUCAUGGCGGCUUCUUGGUGACAUUAGGCAGUUAAAGGCGGGCCAAGGCAGGUCAAGGAGGGUCAAGGCGGGUAAAGGCGGGCCAAGGCAGGCCAAUGCGGGUCAAGACGGGUCAAGGAGGGUCAAGGUGGGCUAAGGCGGCCCUAGAUGGGCCUAAGAGGGUCAUGGUGACCCCUUGGCGUGUCAUGGCGGCUUCUUGGUGACCCUAGGUGGGUCAAGGCGGCCCAUGGCGGCCUAAAGCGGGUCAAGGCGCUCCAAGGCGGGUCAAGGCAGGUCAAAGCGGGUUAAGGCGGCCCAAUGGCGAGUCAUGGCGGCUUCUUGGUUGCCCUAGGCGUGUCUACGAGGGUCAAGGCGGGUCAAGGCAGGCCAAGGCGGUCAAAAGCGGGCCAAGACAGCCCAAGGAAGGCCAAGUGUUGUCAACUUUUAAUAACUUCGCAAGUGCACGAAUCGUUUGUAGUAUAGCUUAUAUGCAAAUACGAGGUCGUUCCAACUAGGGAUAGAUAACUAACUUUCAACUCUAACUAAUGACCAGAUUACGCUAAUGACCAACAAGAAAACAAGAAAAUAAGAAAAUAUUUUUGUGAUUUUUUUAAACAAUAAGAAAAGAGUAAAACAUGCAAAUUGAGAAUGUCACACAAGAUAGUUGAGAAAGAUGUUUUGAAAGGUUGUAAAACAAUGAUGGAUGAAUGCUAGGGCUUCUAAUUUCACAGUCACAAUCCUAUUCGAGUUCCUAGUGUUCCGAUUACUAACUACUAAACCGGUGUUAAAGAAUCAGUCAUAUAAGCCUUAUGGCAGAGUACUUACACGCAUAGGUUCUCUAAAGCAUGAAUACUACCUUAUGGCAGAGUAUAGUAUCCAACUAUUCUUAGAAGUAUGACAUCUACUCUUGAAGGGUCAAUGAAGUUCGAUGAGAACAAAAGGACUCACAUAAACCAAUAAAACAUGACAUCUGUUUUUAUCAAUCUAUGGUUUCUAAUCACAAGAAGCAUUCAAGAUUCAGCAUGGGCAUCUACCUACUCUUGCAUCAGAUAGCUUUAAACAAAACCCUAAAGGUCGCGAGUCUCUAGUAUUUUAAAAUAAGCAACAAUUCUUAUAGAGAUUAAAAACUCAACACCAAUCAAAUAAUCAAGUAAUCAUCAAACUAAAAACAUCGAAUAGUCAUGCUAAGGAUCCAUUAUGGCCCUAACAAAAUAUUUAGCUACUAAGGGUCAUAACAAACACAAUGAUAACAAUGAAAAACAUAAAAAGACUGAAAGGGAAAAUGGAUGAAGAUUGGUGAUGAUGGCUGUCUCCUAAUAUGUCACGUCCCGGAAGCUCCCUUCUUGAUGGCCAUGGCUGUAUCUAUUUAUAAGACUCAAUUCCCAAUUUGGUUAGGCUUUCUUGUUCUUCUUGGACUUGGAUGAUGAUGUGGCACUCUAAUAACAUAACUUGGGCCUUCAAGUUGUCUAUGAUGCUUCUAGAAUCUCCUUUGAAUCUUCUAUGCACGUUCAAACUUCCACACAUGAGGUUGAAGUAAGACAUUGCACAUUCUAGUCUAUCUUGAGCUGCCUUCAUUCAAACUGCUAUAUCUCUCUCCACAAAUAUCGAAAUCACGAACCGCCAAUUCUAUAGAACCUAGACACUCAGGGCUUUCUCUGCAUAUGUAGCUCGUUGUCUAAUUUGAUCUGAGCUGCUCUCAGUGAUUCGGUGAAGUUGGCUAAUCUGUAGAGACUGACUGCCAUAAUCCUGGGAUUUCUACGCCUCUUUCAAUCCUUCCUGCUCCAAUUACUUCUCUUUGCUCUUUGAACCUGAAAAACGACAAACUAAGUAAAAUUGAACUAAAUUACUUGAAAGUAUAAUACAAAUCUAAGGUAUAAAAAGGUAUAAAAACAUAGCAUAUAAUGGAUACAUCACCAAGGUGGGUUAAAGGCGGGUUAAGGCGUGCCAAGACUGGUCAAGACGGGUCAAGGCGGUCGAAAGCGGGCCAAGGCAGGUCUAGCUAAGCGGCCCUAGGAAUCCCCUUUGCGGGUCUAGGAGGGUUAAGGCAGCUCUAGGCGGGUCUAUGAGGGUUAAGGCGGCCUAACGCCGUUCAAGGCGGGUGAAGGCGGAUCUUGGCGGUCGAAAGCGGAACAAGGGGGCCUAAGGCAAUCCAAGGCGGCCCAAGGUAGGUUAAGGCGCCCCAUUGGCCGCCCCUUGGCUGCCCUAGUUGGGCCUAGAAGAGACGAGGAGGGUCAUGACGACCCCGAGGUGAGUCAUGGCGGCUUCUUGAUGGCCCUAGAUUGGCGUAGGAGGUUCAUGGCGGCUUCUUGGUGGCCCUAGGUGGGUCUAGGCGGCCCAAGGCAGUUUAAGGCGGCCCAUGGCAGCUCAAGGCAGCCUAUGGCGGCCCAAAGCGGGUUAAGACGGGCCAAGACGGGUCAAGGUGGCCGAAGGGGGGUCAUGGCGAGUAAAGGCAGGUCAAGGCGGGUCAAGGCAGGUCAAGGUGGCCCCUUGGGGAUGUAUGCAGCCCCUUGGCGGCCCUAGGCGGGUCAUGACGGUUUUUGAGGAGGUCAAAACAGCCCUAGGCGUGUAAAGGCAGCCCCUUGGCGGGUUAAGAGGUCCCCUUGGUGUCCCUAAGUGAGUUAUGGCGGCCCCCUUGGCUACCCUAGAAGGGCCGAGGAUGGUCAAGGUGGGUUAAGAGGGGUCAAGGCGGGUUAAGGUGGUUCAAGGCGGGUUAAAGCGGUCUAGGGCGGGUUAAGGCGGCCCAAGGCGGGUCAAGGCGGCCCUAGGCAGCCAUAGGUAGCCCCUUGACGGGUCUAGGAGGGUCAAGAUGGCCUAACGCGGUUCAAGGCGGGUCAAGGCGGCCUAAGGCUAGACAAGUUGCCACCUUGGCCGCAGCUUGGCUGCCCUAGGUGGGCAUAGAAGAGCUGAAGUGGGUCAUGGUGACCCCUUGGUGAGUCAUGGUGGUUUCUUGGUGGCCCUAGGAGGGUUAAGGCGGCCCAAGGCGGGUAAAGGCGGGUUAAAGCGGCCCAUGGCAGGCUAAGGCAAGUCAAGGCGGGUUAAGGCGGGCCAAGGCAGGUCAAGGCGGCCUAACGCGGUUCAUGGCNNNNNNNNNNNNNNNNNNNNACUAAGGCGGGUCAAGGCUCCCCCUUGGCCGCCCCUUGGCUGCCCUAGGUGGGGGUUAGAAAAGUCAAGGAGGGUCAUGGCUACCCCUUGGCUUGUCAUGGCGGCUUCUUGGUGGCCUUAGGUGGGUCUAGGAGGGUCAAGGCAGCCUAAGGCGGGUCGAAGUGGGUCAAGGUGGGUCAAGGCGGGCUAAGACAGGUCAAGGCGGGUCAUAACGAGUCAUGGCGGCUUCUUGGAGGGUCAAGGCGGCCCUAGGCACCCCUUUGGCAGGCCUACGAGGGUCAAGGUGGCCCAACACGGUUCAAGGCGGGUCAAGGCGGCCCAAGGCGGUCUAUGGCGAGUCAUGGCGGCUUCAUGGUGGCCCUAGGCGAGUCUAGGAGGGUCAAGGCGGCCCAAAGAGGUUCAAAGCGGGCAAAGACGGCCUAAGGCGGGUCAAGGCGGCCCAUGGUGGCCUAAGGCGGGUCAAGGCGGGCUAAGUCUGGUCUAGGCUGCCGAAGACGGGCCAAAGCGGGUCAAGGUGGCCCCUUGGCAGACGUAGGCAGCCCCUUGGUGGGUUAAGACGUCCCUAGGCGUGUAAAGACAACCCCUUGGUGGGUUAAGACAUCCCUUUGGCGGCUUUAGGCGUGUCAAGGCGACCCCCUUGGUGGCCCUAGGAAUGUGAAUGCGGCCUCUUGGCGGCCCUAGGUGGGUCAUGGCGCCCCCUUGGCUACUCUAGGUGGGCCUAGAAGGGCCAAGGAGGGUCAAGGCGAUAGAGCCUAGGAGGGUCAUGGCGACGCCUUUGCAAGUCAUGGCGGCUUCUUGGUGGCACUAGGCAGCCCAAGGCAGUUCAAGGCAGGCCAAAGAGAGUCAAGGCGGGUCAAAACGGUUCAAGGCGGAUCAAGACGGGUCAAAACGGGCCAAGACGGGUCAAGGCGGGCUAAGGAGGGUCAAGGUGGGCUAAGUCGGGCCAAGGCGAUCCUAUGCGGCCCUAGACGGGCCUAGGAGGGUCAUGGUGACCCCUUGGCGUGUCAUGGCGGCUUUUUGGUGGCCUUAGGUGGGCUUAGGAGGGUCAAGGAGGUUCAAGGCUGUAACGCCCCGAUUUGCACCUCUUCAAAUCAAGCACAUUACAGUGCCGCGCAUUCAUAGAACCCAAGCUAGGAUCCUUUACUCAAGUUCUAAGAACCCGCAAGGCAAAGGAAAAAUUUAAAAUUUAUAAAAAUGUUAGCAGAAAUGUUUAUUUAAGAUAAGGUGAAAAUAUAACACGUUUAGAUAUCUUUCAAAUCAAACAAGCCCUCUCUAAAACAAAAAUCAAUAUCAGUCCGGUUCAAGAUCAACGAUUUGAAAAGUUUGCAAGAUGAAUAGUUUCUCAAAUAUACACAUACUCGAUAAGGCGGCCCUAGGUGGGUUUAGAAGGGUCAAGGCGGGCUAAGGAGGGCCAAGGCGGUUCUAGGCGGCCCUAGGAGGGUCAUGGUGACCCCUUGGCGUGUCAUGGCGGCUUCUUGGUGGCCCUAGGUGGGUUUAGGAGGGUCAAGGCGGUUCAAGGCUGUCAUGGCGGCCCAAAGCAGGUCAAGGCGGGCUAAGGCGGGUCAAGGUGGCCAAUGUGGGCCUAAGGUGGGUCAAGUCGGCCCAUGGCGGCCCAAAGCAGGUCAAGGCGGGCUAAGACGGGUCAAGCGGCCCAAGGUAGGACAAGGCAGGUCAAGGCUGGAUAGUCUACGACAGUCAAGGUGGGUCAAGACAGUUCAAGACGGGUUAAGGUGGGCCAAGGCGGGUCAAGGCCGCCCAAGGAAGGCCAAGGCGGGUUAAAGGCGGGACAAGGUGGGUUAAGGUGGCCCUAGGCAGCCCCUUGGCGGGUCAAGGCGGUAGAAGGCGGGUCAAGGUGGCCUUAGGCAGCCCCUUGGUGGGUCUAGGAGGGUCAAGGCGGCCCAACACGGUUCAAGACUGGUCAAGGCAGAUCAAGACGGCCCAAGGUGGGUCUAGGCGGCCCAAGGCGGGUCAAGGCAGCCCAUGGCCGCUCAAGGCGGGUCAAGGCAGCCCAUGGCGGCCCAAAGCGGGUCAAGACGGGCUAAGACGGGUCAAGGCGGCCCAUGGCGGCACAUCGCGGGUCAAGGCGGUCAAAGGCAGGUCAAGUCGGGUCAAGGUGGAUCCAGGUGNNNNNNNNNNNNNNNNNNNNNNNNNNNNNNNNNNNNNNNNNNNNNNNNNNNNNNNNNNNNNNNNNNNNNNNNNNNNNNNNNNNNNNNNNNNNNNNNNNNNNNNNNNNNNNNNNNNNNNNNNNNNNNNNNNNNNNNNNNNNNNNNNNNNNNNNNNNNNNNNNNNNNNNNNNNNNNNNNNNNNNNNNNNNNNNNNNNNNNNNNNNNNNNNNNNNNNNNNNNNNNNNNNNNNNNNNNNNGGUGGCUUCUUGGUGGCACUAGGCGGUUCAAGGCGGGCCAAGGCAGGUCAAGGGCGGUCCAAGGUGGGCGAAGGCGUUCCAAGGCGGGUCAAGGUGGCCCAAGGCGGUCCAAGGCAAGUCAAGGCGGGCCAAAGCGGGCCAAAGCGGGUCAAGGUAGGUCAAGGCGGGUGAAAGCGGGCCAAGGCAGGUCAAGGCGGUCCAAGACGAGCCAAGGCGGUCCUAGGUGGGUCAAGGCGGCCAAAGCGGUCAAAGGCGGGUUAAGACGGGCCAAGUCGGGUCAAGGUGGCCCUUUCGCAGACGUACGCAGCCCCUUAGCGGCCCUAGGCGGGUCAUGGAGGUCCCUAGGGAGGCCAAAAUAGCCCUAGGCAUGUAAAGACAGCCUCUUGGCGGGUCAAGACGUCCCCUUGGCGGCCCUAGGCGUGUCAUAGCUGCCCCCUUGGCGGCCUUAGGAAUGUUAAGGCGGCCUCUUGGCGGCCCUACACGGGUCAAGGCAUGUACAGGCAGCCCCUUAGCUGCCCUCGGUGGGCCGAGGAGGGUCAAGGCGGCCAAUCAUGGGUCAAGGCGGGUUAAGGCGGGCCAAGAGGCCAAGACGGGCCUAGGAGGGUCAUGGCGGCUUCUUGGUGGCACUAGGCGGACCAAGGCUAUUCUAGGCGGGUUCAGGGGGACCAAAACCAGCCAUGGCAGGUCAAGGCGGUCCAAGGCGGGUCAAGGUGAAUCAAGGUAGGUCAAGGCGGAUCAAGGCGGAUCAAAGCGGCCCAAGACGGGCCAAGGUGGGUCAAGGUGGCCUUAGACGGGUCAAUAUAGCCCCAUGACGGCUGUAAGUAGCCCUUUGGCGGCCCUAAGCAGGUCAAAGCGGGUCUAUGGCGGGUAAAGGCUCCCCCAAGGCGGCCUAAGACGGGUAAAGGCUCCCUCUUGGCCGCCCUUUAGCUACCCUAGGUGGGCCUAGAAGAGCCGAGGAGGGUCAUGACGACCCCUUGGGGAGUCAUGGCGGCUUCUUGGUGGCCUUAGACGGGCCUAGGAGGGUCAUGACAACCCCUUGGCGAGUCAUGACGGCUUCUUGGUGGCCCUAAGUGGGUCUAAGAGGGUCAAGGCGGCCCAAGGCGAUUCAAGCCGGGUAAAGGAGGGUCAAGACGGCCCAUGGCGGCCUAAGGCGGGUCAAAACUCCCCUUGGCCGCCCCUUGACUGCCCUAGGUGGGCCUAGAAGAGCCGAGGAGGGUCAUGGCGACCCUUAGCGACGUCGAUGGCGGCUUCUUGGUGGCCCUUGACAGGCCUAGGAGUGUCAUGGCGACCCCUUGGCGAGUCAUGGCGGCUUCUUGGUGGCCCUAGGUGGGUCUAGGAGGGUCAAGGUAGGUAAAGGCUGGUCAAGGUGGCCUGUGGCAGCCCAUGGUGGGUCAAGGCGGGUCAAAGCGCCCCUUUGGCCGCCCCUUGGCUGCCCUAGAUGGGCUUAGAAGAGCCGAGGAGGGUCAUGGCCAGUCAUGGCGGUUUCUUGGUGGCCCUAGGUGGGUCUAGGAGGGUUAAGGCGGCCCAAGGAGGGUCAAGGCGGUCCAAGGCUAGUCAAGGCGGCCUAACGCGGUUCAACGCGGGUAAAGUCAAACCAAGGCGGGUCAAGGCGGCCCAUGGCAGCCUAAGGCGGGUCAAGGCAGCCCAAAACGGUUUAAGGCGGCCCAAGGCUGGUUAAGGCGGCCCUAGGAGGGUCAAGGCGGGUUAAGGAGGCCCCAAGAAAGUGAAACUAGUUAGAAACUCAUGUGCUAUAGCAAGUGGUUUUCGCUCGAAUUUGGUGAAAUUUGAAAUGAGGGGCAAUACCUCAUUUUCUUUUAAAAUUAAGGUUCCCGGUGUCAAUAUGAAAAGAAUUGAAGAAAAUGGAAUCUUGGAAAGUCAAUCAGUUCUAAUUAAAACAACAAUUUCAACAGCUUUAUAAAACACGACACGUGUGAGUUUAUUUAGGCCCGAUCGCAAGUAAAUUGAUAAAAGACAAGGAUUUUUGAAGCUAGAAUGGAUUACUAUAUGUUAAGAGGUGUCUGUAAGCACACCUAAACGGAAAAAGCCAGAGGCCCAAUAAAAGUGAAACUUGCCAAAAACUUGUGUAGCAAAGUGUUGUGGCUCGAAUUGGGGGAAACUUGAAAUGAGAGGCAAUACCUUAUUUUCUUUUGAAACUAAGGUUUCCGAUGUCAAUAUGAGAAGAAUUGAAGAGAACAUAAUCUUAAAAAGUCACUCAAUACUAAUUAAAACAACAAUUUCAAUUGUUUUACAAAAUACAACACUUGUGAGUUAUUUAGGCCCGAUCGCAAGUAAAUUGAUAAAAGACAAGGAUUUUUGAAACUAGAAUGGUUCAAUAUAUGUUAAGAGGUGUCUAUAAGCACACCUGAGUGAAAAAAGCCGGAGUCCCAAAAAAAGUGAAACUGGCUAGACUCUCAUGUGCUGUAGCAAGUGGUUAUGGCUCGAAUUGGGUGAAAUUUGAAAUGAGGGGCAAUACCUCAUUUUCUUUUAAAAUUAAGGUUCCCGGUGUCGAUAUGAAAAGAAUUGAAGAAAACAGAAUCUUGAAAAGUCACUCAAUUCAAAUUAAAACUGCAAUUUCAAUAGCUUUACAAAACACGACACGCGUGAGUUUAUUUAAGCUCGAUCGCGAGUAAAUUGAUAAAAGACAGAUUUUUAAAGCUAGAAUGGUUUACUAUAUGUUAGGAGGAUUCUGUAACCACACCUGAACAGAAAAAGCCGGAGGCCCAAAAAAAGUGAAACUGGGCAGAAACUCGUGUGCUAUAGCAAGAGAUUUUGGCUUAAAUUAUGUAAAACUUGAAAUGAGGGACAAUACCUCAUUUUCUUUUGAAACUAAGGUUUCCAAUGUCAAUAUGAGAAAAAACUGGAGGCCCAAAAAAGUGAAACUUGCUAAAAACUCAUGUAGCAAGGGGUAAAGGCGACCCAAGUCAGUUCAAGGCGGCCUAAGGCUGGUCAAGGAGGCCCAUGGCGGGCCUACGAGGGUCAAGGCGGGCCCAUGGCUGGUCAAGGCUUCCCAUGACAGGCCACAGUGGUUUAAGGCGGCCAUAACCGGGUCAAGGCGGCUCCUUGGUAGCCCUAGAUAGGUCAAGGCGGCCUCUUAGCGGCCCUAGCAAGGCGGCCUUAGACCGGUGAAGGCGGCUCCUUGGCGGCCCUAGACAGGUCAAGGCGGCCCAUGGCGGGUCAAUGCGGCCCUAGGAGGGUCAAGGCGGCCAAAGGCGGUUCAAAGCGAGUCAAGGCGGCCCCCUGGUGGCUCUAAGCGGGUUAAGGUGGCCCCUUAGCGGCCCUAGGCAUCCCUUUGGCGGCCCUACGCGGGUCAUGGCAGCCCCUUGGCUGCCCUAAGAGGGCCUCGAAGGGUCAAGGCGGGUUAAGGCGGCCCUAGACGGGUGAAGGCCGCUCCUUGACGGCCUUAGACGGGUCAUGGCGGCCCCCUGGUGGACCUAGGUGGGCCUAGGAGGUUCAAGGCAGCACCUUAGCGGCCCAAGGCGGUCGCUUAAUGGCCCUAGGCAGGUCAAGGCGGCCUCUUGGCGGUCCCUUACCCCUAGGCGGGCCUAGCAGGGCCGAGGAGGGUCAAGGCGGCCCAAUGUCGGCCAAGAUGGGUCAAGGCGGCCCGAUGGAGGGUCAUGGCCCCUUGGCGACUUUAGGCGGGUGAAGGCAGUCCUAGGCGGGUAAUGGCGACCCCUUGGCUGCCCUAGGAGGGUUAAGGCAGCCCGUUGGCGGGUCAAGGCAGCCCCUUAGCGGCCUUAAAGGGGUGAAGGCGGCCUGUUGGCGACCUCAGGAGGGUUAAGGCGGCUCAAAAACGGGAAACUAGCUAGAAACUCGUGUGUCAUAUCAAGUGAUUUUCGCUCGAAAUAGGUGAAAUUUGAAAUGAGGAGCAAUAACUUAUUUUCUUUUAAAAUUAAGGUUCUCGGUGUCAAUAUAAAAAGAAUUGAAGAAAAUAAAAUCUUGGAAAGUCACUCAAUUCUAAUUAAAACAACAAUUUCAACAGCUUUAUAAAACAUGGUAUGCGUGAGUUUAUUUAUGCCCGGUCGUGAGUAAAUUGAUAAAAGCCCGAUCGUGAGUAAAUUGAUAAAAGAAACGGAUUUUUGAAGCUAGAAUGGAUCACUAUAUGUUACGAGGUGUCUGUAAGCACAUCCGAAUGGAAAAAGCCGGAGGCCCUAAAAAAGUGAAACUUGCCGGGAACUUGUGAGCUAUAACAAGGGGUUUUGGCUCGAAUUUGAGUGAAACUUGAAAUGAGGGACAAUACCUUCUUUUCAUUUGAAACUAAGGUUUCCAAUGUGAAUAUGAGAAGAAUUGAAGAGAAUAUAAUUUUAAAAAGUCACUCAAUACCAAAAAACAGCAAUUUAAACAGAUUUACAAAAUAUGGCACGCGUGAGUUUAUUUAGGCCCGAUCGCGAGUAAAUUGAUAAAACACACGGAUUUUUGAAGCUAGAAUCGAUUACUAUAUGUUAGGAGGUGUCUGUAAGCACACACGAACGGAAAAAGCCAGAGGCCUAAAAAAAGUGAAACUUGCCGGGAACUUGUGUGUUAUAGCUAGGGGUUUUAGCUCAAAUUUGGUGAAACUUGAAAAGAGGGACAAUACCUUAUUUUCAAUUGAAACUAAGGUUUCCAAUGUGAAUAUGAGAAGAAUUGAAGAGAAUAUAAUUUUAAAAAGGCACUCUAUACCAAUUAAAACUGUAAUUUCAACAGCUUUACAAAACACGACAAGCUUGAGUUUCUUUAGGCCCGAUCGCGAGUAAAUUGAUAAAAGACAUGGAUUUUUGAAGCUAGAAAGGAUCACUAUAUGUUAGGAGGUGUCUGUAAUGACACCCGAAUGGAAAAAGCCGGAGGCCCAAAAAAGUGAAACUUGAUAGAAACUCGUGUGCUAUAACAAGGGGUUUUGCUCGAAUUGGGCGAAACUUGAAAUGAGGGACAAUACCUUAUUUUCAUUUGAAACUAAGGUUUCCAAUGUGAAUAUGAGAAGAAUUGAAGAGAAUAUAAUUUUAAAAAGUCACUCAAUACCAACUAAAACAACAAUUUCAACAGCUUUACAAAUACGGCAUGCAUGAGUUUAUUCAGGCCCCUUGGCAGACGUAAGAGGGUCAAGGGGGCCGCUAUGCAGGUUAAGGCGGCCCCUUGGCAGUCCUAGGCGGGUCAUGGUGGCCCUUUUAAUGCCCUUGGAGGGUCAAGGUGGCCCCUCGGUGGCCCUAGAUGGGUCAAGGCGGCCCCUUGGUGGCCCUAGAUGGGUCAAGGCGUCCUCUUGGCAGCCCUAUAUGGGUCAUGGCGGUCUUAGGAGGGUCAAGGCGUGCCAAGGUGGGUCACGGCGAUCUUAGGCUGGUCAAGGCGGCCCCGUGGUGGCCCUAAGCGGGUCAUGGCGGCCCCUUGGCAGCCCUAGGAGGGUUAAGGCGGACCAAAGUGGGUCAAGGCGGGCCUAGGAGGGUCAAGGCGGGCCAAGGUGUGUUAAGGCUGCCCUAGGCGGGUCAUGAGGACCCCUUUGUGACACAACCCACCCCGAAUUUCACCCUGAAACCCAGAGUAAGUCGUGCGGGGACCACCUCCAAGAAAAAUUUACCGAAAAAUCGGCAUAACCUCCCUUGAAAAAUGGACAACCCUUCCUAAUAAUACCUGCAAACACUUCUGAAAAUUUAAAUCCAACCUUAAACUCCUGGAGCCUUCGUGCUCCCCAAAUCACAACAUCUCCCAAUUUAAUUUCUAACUUAAACAAGAAAAAAAAAUACUCAUAGCCAACAGCCACAGUUCAGAGCAACUCUAUUUGAAAGGAAAUGGACUAGAAAUAUAAAAAAAAUGAGCGGAAACUACACUAUUGACUAUGCCUCUUCUCCAUAUACGUCCGACCUCAACUAUGCAAUCCUGCAAACUGGGCAUUUUUAAAACGAAGAGCCCAGGGGAAACAUUUGAAACGAAACGUUAGAGUGAGUGGACAAAAAUAAAUAACGAAUAAAAUAUUUAUNNNNNNNNNNNNNNNNNNNNNNNNNNNNNNNNNNNNNNNNNNNNNNNNNNNNNNNNNNNNNNNNNNNNNNNNNNNNNNNNNNNNNNNNNNNNNNNNNNNNNNNNNNNNNNNNNNNNNNNNNNNNNNNNNNNNNNNNNNNNNNNNNNNNNNNNNNNNNNNNNNNNNNNNNNNNNNNNNNNNNNNNNNNNNNNNNNNNNNNNNNNNNNNNNNNNNNNNNNNNNNNNNNNNNNNNNNNNNNNNNNNAAAACACCCACAAAAUAAAGCCUAACAAGAAUUUACCUCUUUUUUACCAAUAUAGUAAUUUUCGUUUUUAGACCAUAACUUCUUCAUACGAACUCCGUUUUAAGCGUGCCGCGUGUCCACGAACUCCGUUUAACGUCCUCUACAACUUUCAUGAAGGAAGUUUUCCCAAAUUCCAAACGGAAGAAAAAGUCAACUUUAGGGUCCUUAAGUAGUAAACGGUUACUCAACACGGUAAAAGACCAAAAUAACACCAAAGUAAAUAACCGUAAAAUAACUUAAGAACCGGGGUGUGACAAUUCUCCCCUCCUUAUAAAAAUUUCGUCCUCGAAAUUUCAAAUCAUGCAAAUGGGGUGAAGGUUACUGCCUUUCACCUUAGACUCCAAUAAACGCUAAGCUAAAUCAUCUCAUGAUCAACGCUCUUCAAACUUCCUUCUAUCACAAAAUACACCUUUUCACAUGUGGAAACAAUUAGCCAAAUUCUUUUCCACUUACAUUGGCACAUCUUUACCUACUGAACCCGAAGCAAGUGCAUAAGCUUUAACAAAUCUCAAACUAAGGGUCAACUGACAUACUCUGCCAACGUUCCACAUGACACCACUCACACCAAACACUUUGCUCCUUGACUUAUCUUCCACUAAUUGAAUGGCUUGCCUGAUUAGAGUUACUUAUGAUACUCAACCCCAAAACACACGGAGGACUUUGACUUUCGCCAAGUCAAAAUGAUCAAUAACUUUCUUAAUUCACAACACAAUCUUACUCCCGUCACCAAUUAAUCAAAAUAAAACUCAAUCGCUCACACCGAAAUUGAACCUUCACCACCUAUGUGGUUGGCCUCAAUCUUAACGCUAACCGGCGAAUAUCUCCUUUGUCGCCAGAUUACACUAAUGCGAUUUAUGAAACCAAACCCUUAUUCUGAAUAUCUCUUGUAUUUCAAAUCGUAUCCAUACAUCAAUGACCUCCCAGGUCCUACACAGAUCAAGUGGUCCCACCACAAUAUGAUCAUGCAUGAAUACGCAUCACAAGAAAGACAUUUAACAUGACCUGCCACUACUUACCAUUUAUGCCAACGGACUAACAAUCCUUGACUCAAAAAUAUUUCCCGAGUCAACAAAAAUUCUUUUUUUUUUUUUUUUUUUUUUUAGGCUAUACCACCAAUCAAUCAUAUUAUUAUUUUUCAAUAAUUCGCACCGCGAAUUAAUCAUUACUAACCAAUAAUAACCAUCGGAAUCUCAUCACUCAAUAAAUAAAAAAUAAAAAAAAUCAACAAUCGCCACCAACGACUUACAAGCACAAGAAAAAGAAAUAUCACUCUCAAAAUCAAUCAACAUAUCCGAAUCCGGUUCCUCCAAAAAUGAGGAAAAUACGAUGACUUGGCGUAUGACAAUACAUUAGAAGCUACGAGUAUCUCCUCGUACGAACCAAGUUCAUUCAAACUUGCAUGCAGACUAGCCUUUAGGUUACAUUAUCUAUUCUGCGAACAAAAGAGAUAGGUGGCUCACUAUUUACUGCAACAAUUCCCGUUGCUUUUACUGCAACACGCGUCUGCAAUUAUCACCUUCACCUUAAUAAUACCAGCUUAUCGAACGGAGGAAAAUAAAAAUAGUGAGUCUCACACGAAUCAACAAAAUCCAAGGAUCACCAUUGGAUGUUCACUAUUUGAUGACUUGCUUCUCACGUAUUAUCAUGCAUAAUACCGACUACGUAUCAACUCCAGUCGAUGAACAAGGAUUUUCAAAUAACGGCCCCGCCAUUACGCAUAACUUUAAGAAAAAUCAUCUAAGUUAUACUUCUUCUGCCUAAUUAUCCAUUGCUAAAGAUACCAAAGAUCAUGAAAAUCUACUCGCAUUUCCUGAGUAGAACUUUGCUCAAGAAUUUCUCGUUAUCGAUAACGAACGUCGCAGUCCCAUUAAGAAAUCGUACCAACUAAUAGCUGCCAAAGCACGGAAAUUUCCGCAUCGACUAUAAAGUUAAAUCACCUUAAUUAUUCACCGAAUAACCGCACUAACAAACAAAAUACAAACUCUGAGUUGACCGAAUUGUGUAUCAGCAUAGCUGAUGUUGGCGGUCUAUCAUACAACACUAGAUAGUCCUCUCUUGCUGCCUCCAUAUGAUGUAGAGUGAUUUCCUUUCUUCCAUUUGAUUGGAUCAGACUAACUUGAUCACGCAUGACCAUAAUGUCCAGGGAAAAAAAAAAUGAGGGCACAAAACUGGAGUCCAACACUCAAGUCGGCAAAACUGCUAGAGGCCAAGAUAAAUACUCCUCGAUCGUCACGCUGCUCCAAUAAUUACUUCAAAGAAUUUAGGGUCUCAAAACGCGCUCUAAUGACAAAUCACACACCCUACACCUAAGUGAGACACUCUGAAUCUCCUCGAUUCAUGCGCUAACCCUUGAGCAACGCGCAAUUGACAGUUGUCUGCUCCAUCUCAAGACUAAGUGUCAACCACAUCAUCGCUUGCGUAAUGCUCAAGCGGAAGCAAUGAGAUUGCUCGAAUCUGAUAGAGCCUCGACAAUAACUUCCAAUCCCCACUAGCUAAUUUCACCACUGCAAUACUCCAAACAGAAGCUAAAUUCAUGGGAUAGACUACCUUAAGAUAUAUAUCCCACUCAUCCACUUAGGAAUUAUCCUCAUCAGCUAACAACAACAACUAAAGUAAAGAACAAUUAUUUUUGAGAUCAACAACUACAAUUACACUCCUUUAACUACUCUCAUGUAUCGCCAUACACAUUAUCAAUUUAAAUUCAUUCUGACACUCUUCUCACCUAACAAUCACUCGAUCUGAAACCACAAUUUCUAACCAACCACCACUUCGAAUUUACAACUUCAACCUUUCUUACAUCAAUGACUAAAGAUAUCGAAUAUUGAGAUUACCUUUAGACAAUAGGGGUUAGUCAAUAAUUUCCUGCGACAGCCAAAAGACUUAAAAUCUGGAACGAGUCCGUUUCCAAACACUAUUUUGUCCACAAACAUAUUGCUUAAAACAAAGCAAAAUCAAACUCUGUUUCCGUAAAAUCAAAGCGACCACAACCAUCUGGAUAAAAUGCUCUAAGGAUAUAAACAUAUCCAUAAUUAGCACUGCAGAAACCAGAACAUAUACCGCCAUAACCAAAAUUAUCCCAACAUGAUCUCAAUUGAUUUCUACUGCGGACAAACAUAGUCGGCAAAUUGGCCUUCAAUCAAGACUUAUCUAAAUUGACAUUUAACUCUUUAUGCAGUAAUGCCUUACCACCCAAUCACUAGCCACAAAUUCUCUAAAACCUUAUUUAACCCAAGACUAUGGUCCUCAACAACUCAUAUAGGUACCCCUUUGAAUUACUAUUGGAUACCUCAACUCAUCAUUUCAACUAACUUUUACAUCAAUAGAAAAUACCACUACUUCGAACUUUCCUUCCAACUCGACUCUCUUAGAAGUCACGUAACUCAAUAUCAAAAUCUCCCAUCAAUCAAUUUUUUUUUCUCCAAUCUUGCCCACUAAAAAUAGUGAACUCCAAGGCUUGAAUUAAACUUUUCACCUUUUACAAAUUCUCACGAGAUGCUCACCCUAGCAUCUUAAUCAUAACCCAAUCAAUCAUUCAUCAAAUGAAAGGAAUGCCAACUGAGUUCCCAACUCGCAAUUGAACUCUAACAAUUUAUGCUAUCAACUCGAUAACCCUUGGAAAGGCAUAAUCCAAAUACCUCUUUCCUUAAUCAAAAUAGGAUGAUCACUUAAGAGGUCGGCGUACAGAGACAUAGUCUUGAAGAUAUACACAUUUAUGGCACAAUACUGUCCAUAAUUAAGACAAGAAUAACUACAUCACAAACCUAAUCAACACAUAGUGUCUAAAGCAUAUAAUGCUAAUAGAUCCGCCGCGGUCGGACCAUCACUCUAUAGACACUAAGUGCGACCAAGAAUAUAAGGUAGUACUAAAAAGGGAAAGGAAACGAAUAACCUAGUGCUCUGAUACCAACUGACACAACCCACCCCGAAUUUCACCCUGAAACCCAGAGUAAGUCGUGCGGGGACCACCUCCAAGAAAAAUUUACCGAAAAAUCGGCAUAACCUCCCUUGAAAAAUGGACAACCCUUCCUAAUAAUACCUGCAAACACUUCUGAAAAUUUAAAUCCAAUCUUAAACUCCUGGAGCCUUCGUGCUCCCCAAAUCACAACAUCUCCCAAUUUAAUUUCUAACUUAAACAAGAAAAAAAAAUCUCAUAGCCAACAGCCACAGUUCAGAGCAACUCUAUUUGAAAGGAAAUGGACUAGAAAUAUAAAAAAAAUGAGCGGAAACUACACUAUUGACUAUGCCUCUUCUCCAUAUACGUCCGACCUCAACUAUGCAAUCCUGCAAACUGGGCAUUUUUAAAACGAAGAGCCCAGGGGAAAACAUUUGAAAACGAAACGUUAGAGUGAGUGGACAAAAAUAAAUUAACGAAUAAAAUAUUUAUGUUUUCCCCAAAUCAAUUUCCAAAGAAAAAUCGAAUGCAUGCUACAAGCGAUAAAACUUUCAUCUCAUAAUAUCGAGUCUCUCAGGCUCUAACAUAUAUGUAUGUAUUUACACUCGUCCAUACUCCCUAUAUAAAUUCAUGGGUCUAUAUAAGGCUACUACGCUCGCGUCCAACGCUCACGUCACGCCUUAAUGCGGUGCUACACUACGCCAUCAAGGUGGACAGACGGGUGUAUAAAUAUGUGCCCAUACCCCCUAUAUGAAUUAAACACUCAUAUAGGGCUACUACGCUUACGUCCAACGCUCACGUCACACCAUAAUGCGGCUAUAUGCUACGCCAUUAAGGUGGACAGACACAUAUGGCUAGCUANNNNNNNNNNNNNNNNNNNNNNNNNNNNNNNNNNNNNNNNNNNNNNNNNNNNNNNNNNNNNNNNNNNNNNNNNNNNNNNNNNNNNNNNNNNNNNNNNNNNNNNNNNNNNNNNNNNNNNNNNNNNNNNNNNNNNNNNNNNNNNNNNNNNNNNNNNNNNNNNNNNNNNNNNNNNNNNNNNNNNNNNNNNNNNNNNNNNNNNNNNNNNNNNNNNNNNNNNNNNNNNNNNNNNNNNNNNNNNNNNNNNNNNNNNNNNNNNNNNNNNNNNNNNNNNNNNNNNNNNNNNNNNNNNNNNNNNNNNNNNNNNNNNNNNNNNNNNNNNNNNNNNNNNNNAAGAGGAGGAGAGAGAGAGAGAGAGAGAGAGUGGCUGGGCUUUGACCCCCCCUCUUGACCCAGUCCAAACUUAAAACACCCACAAAAUAAAGCCUACAAGAAUUUACCUCUUUUUACCAAUAUAGUAAUUUUCGUUUUUAGACCAUAACUUCUUCAUACGAACUCCGUUUUAAGCGUGCCGCGUGUCCACGAACUCCGUUUAACGUCCUCUACAACUUUCAUGAAGGAAGUUUUCCCAAAUUCCAAACGGAAGAAAAAGUCAACUUUAGGGUCCUUAAGUAGUAAACGGUUACUCAACACGGUAAAAGACCAAAAUAACACCAAAGUAAAUAACCGUAAAAUAACUUAAGAACCGGGGUGUGACACUUUGGCUGCCCUUGGCGGGCCUAGGAGGGUCAAGGUGGCCCAUGGUAGGGCAAGGUGGGUUAAGGCGGCCCUAGACGAGUCAAGGCAGCCCCUUGGCGAGUCAAGGCGUCCCCUUGGCGGCCCUAGGCAGCCCUUUGGCGGGUUCUUCCCUAGAUGAGCCGAGGAGAGUCAAGUCGGGUCAAGGUGGCCCCUUGGCUGCCUUAGGCAGGCCUAGCAGGGUCGAGGAGGGUCAAGGAGGGUAAAGGCGGCACAAGGCAGGCCAAGACGGGUCAAAUCUGCCUAAGGCGGGUCAAGGCAAGCCAAGGAGGGUCAAGGCGGCCCCUUGGCGGCCUUAGACGGGUGAACGUCACCCCUUGGCAACCCUAGCCGGGUCAAGGCGGUCGUUUGGCCCUAGAUGGGCAAAGGCGGCCCUAGGCCCUAGAAAGGUUAAGGCGGCGCUAAACGGGCCUAUGAGGAUCAUGACGACCCCUUAGCGAGUCAAGGCGGCCCCUUGGUGACCCUAGAUGGGUCAAGGCGGCCUCUGGGCGGCCCUAGGAGGGUCAAGGCGGGUUAAGCCGAUCAUAGGCGGGUCAAGGCGGCCGCUUAACGGCCUUAGGCAAGUCAAGGCGGCCCUUUGGCUGCCCUAGGAGGGUCAAGGUGGGUCAUUGGAAGCCCUAGGCAAGUUAAGGCAGCCCCUUAGAGGCCCUAGGCUGCCCCUAGGCAGGUCAUAGCGGCCCCUUGGCUGACUUAUACAGGCCUAGGAGGGUCAUGGCGGGCCAAGGUGGGUUAAGGCUACCUUUGAGUGGCCCUAGGCGAGUCAUGGCCUUGGCGGGCCUAGGAGGGUCAAGAUGGCCCAUGGCAGGGCAAGGCGGGUUAUGGUGGCCCUAGACUGGUCAAGGCAGCCCUUGGUAGGUCAAGGCGUCCCCUUAGCGGCUCUAGACAGCCCAUUGGCGGCCCUUUGGCUGCCUUAGGCAGGCCUAGAUGGGCCAAGGAGGGUCAAGACGGCCAUUGGCGGGUCUAGGAGGGUUAAGGCAACCCUUUAGCGGGUGAAGGAGGCCCCUUGACGGCCUUAAACGGGUGAACAUGACCCUUUGGCUGCCCUAGCCAGGUCAAGGCGGUCCCAUGGUGACCCUAGAUGGGCAAAGGCGGCCUCUUGGCGGCCCUAGGAGGGUCAUGACGACCCUUUGGUGACUCAAGGCGGCCCCUGGAUGGCCCUACAUGGGUCAAGGCGGUCUCUUGGAGGUCCUAUAUGGGUCAAGGUGGCCGCUUAGCGGUCUUAGACCGGUCAAGGCAGCCCCUUGGUGGCCCUAGACGGGUCAUGGCUGCCCUAAGAGGGUCAAGGCGGCAACUUGGAAGCUCUAUGAGGGUCAAGGCGGCCGCUUAGGGGCCCUAGGAAGGUCAAGGCGGCCCCUUAGCGGCUAUAGCCAGGUCAAGGUAGCCCCUUAGCGACCUUUGGUAGCCCCUAGCUAGGCGGAUCAUGGCGGCCCUUUAGCUGCCUUAGGCAGACCUAGCAGGGUGGAGGAGGGUUAAGGCGGGUCCCGCCUUAACCGUCAUGACAUGCCAAGGGACCACCUUGGCCCUCCUAGACCCGUGUAGGGACCGCCUUAACCCAUUUAGAGGGCGCCUAGGCCACUAAGGGGCUGUCGGGACCCACUUAGGUUCACUAAAGGGUCGCUUUCAGCCACCUAGGGCUGUCAAGACUCGCUUAGACCUGUUUAAGUUAGAACCUACGUUUGGACCACCUAGACCCGCUUAGGGGUUGCCUAGACCCACCAAGGGGGUGCCGAAACCCGCCAAGGGCGGUCAAGGCGCUGCUUUGACCGGGCUACAGCCACCAAAGGGCCGCCUUGACCUGCUUAAGGCCCCUAAGCGGCUGCCUUGACCCUCCUAGGGCUUCCAAGUUGCCACCUUGACCCUCCUAGGGCAACCAAGGGGCCGUCAUGACUCGCCUAGACCCGCCUUGACAUGCCAAAGGACAGCUUUGACUCGCCUUGACAUGCCAAGGGACAGCUUUGACCCACCUAGACCCACUUAGGGACCACUUUAACCCGCUUAGAAGGUGUUUAGGGCCACCAAGGGGCCGCCUUGACCUAUAUAGGGCCGCUAAGAGGCAACCUUGACCUAUCUAGGGCAACCGAGGGGCCGUCUUGACCUGGCUAGGACCGCCAAGGGGCCGCCUUCACCUGUCUAAGGCCGCUAAGGGGCCGCUAUGACCCGCUAAGGGGCCGCUAUGACCCGCUAAGGGGCUGCGUUAACUUGCCUAGGGCCGCUAGGCGGCCACCUUGUCCCUCCUUGACCCGCCUUGGCCACUUUAACCCACCUUAACCCGCCUUAGCCUGCCUUGACCCGGCUACAGCCACCAAGGGGCCGCCUAGAGGCCGCCUUGACCUAUAUAGGGCUGCCAAGAGGCCACCUUGACCUGCCUAAGGCCGCCAAGCGGCCACCUUGAUCCUCCUAGGCCCAUCUACACCCCGCCUUGGCCUGCCUUGACUUUUUUUUGCCUGGCUUGACCCGCCUUGCCCCCACCUUAGACCGUCUUAACCCUCCUCCGCCCUGCUAGGCCUGCCAUGACCCGCCCUGGCCCUCUUAGACCCGCCUAGGGCCGCCUUGACCCUCCUAGGUCCGCCCUAGGGCCACCAAGGGGCUGCCAUGACUCGCCAAGGGAUCAUCAUGAUCCUCCUAAGCCCGUCUUGGGCCGCUUUGGCCCACUUUGGCCCGCCUUAAACCUUCCUAGGGCCGCUAAGAUGCCGCCUUGACCCAUCUAGGGCCACCAAGGGGCCGCCUUGACCCGUCUAUGGUCGUUAAAGGGUCCCGUUCGCCCGUCUAAGGUAGCCAAGGGGCCGCCUUGUCCAACUAAAGGGCUACCUUGACCCUUCUAGGCUCGUCUACACCCCGCCUUGGCCUGCCUUGCCUUGCCUUGGCCUGUCUUGCCUCCUUCAAUAGAUCUUAGGAGAUGUCUAUAAGGACACAUGAAUGGAAAAAAAACUAGAGAUCCAAAAAAUAUGAAAUUUCUUAAAAACUCGUGGGUUACAGGCUAUAAUAAGGGGUUUUGGCACAAAUUGGGUGAAACUUGAAAAAAUGGGUACCACAUAAGUUUUUUCAAAAUUUAGGUUCCCGAGGUCUGUAUGAGAAGAAUUGAAGACUCCACAAGCAUGACAAUUCACUCAGUUCUUCUGAAAGUAACAUUUCCAACACAUUUACCAAGCAAAAUAGUCGUGAGUCAUUUAGGCUCGAUUACGAGUAAAAUGAUAAAAGUCACGAGAUUUUGGUGCUUAAAUGGUUUAUUAUAUCUUAGGAGAUAUCUACAAGGACACAAUGGGAAAAAAACUAGAGAUCCAAAAAAAUGAAAUUUCUCAAAAACUCAUGGGCAUGGGUUAUAGGCUAUAAUAAGUGGUUUUGGCACAAAUUGGGUGAAACUUGACAAGAUGGGUAACACAUAAGCUUUUUCAAAAUUGAGGUUCCCGAGGUCUGUAUGAGAAGAAUUGAAGACUCCACAAACAUGGCAAUUCACUCAAUUCCUCUGAAAUCUGAAAGUAACAGUUCCAAUAUAUUUACCAAACAAAGUAGUUGAGAGUCAUUUAGGCUCGAUUACGAGUAAAAUAAUAAAAGUGACGAGCUUUUGAUGCUAAAAUGGUUCAAUUGAUCUUAGGAAAUGUCUAUAAGGACACAUGAACGGGAAAAAAAACAGAGAUCCAAAAAUAUGAAAUUUCUCAAAAACUCGCGGGCUAUAGGUUAUAUUUUGGGGUUUUGGCACAAAUUGGGUGAAACUUGAAAAGAUGGGUAACACAUAAGCUUUUUCAAAAUUGAGGUUCCUAAGGUUUGUAUGAGUGGAAUUGAAGACUCCACAAGCAUGGCAAUUCACUUAGUUCCUCUGAAAGUAACAGUUCUAACACAUUUACCAAACAAACCAAACAAAUUAGUCUCGAGUCAUUUAGGCUCGAUUACGAGUAAAAUGAUAAAGGUCACGAGUGUGUGUUAAAUUUCAUAGGUUUUGGUUAACAUUUCGUGUGUCAAAUAUCUUGCCAAAAACAGUAGCAGACUUAGCAAUGAAUAUUCUGGGUUUUCAGAUUUUUGCUCCAACUUUGAGAGAGCAUAACUUCCUAUCCAGAGCUUUGUUUGUUUUCAAAACUUAUACUAUGUACUUAAAGAUUGUAAUCUCAUCUUUAAAAUAGGCUUUGGUUCAGAAAUUUUUGUUGGAUUUGAGUAUGUAAAAAAGGAAGCCAAACACAACCUUUUUUUCACUGUUUUAACACUAGGUUGAAACUAAAUUUUGUUCUAAACCAAUUAUAUUUGGUAUCAGCUGAGUUCACUAUUUUAAGUUGCUAUGUAAACAACUUUUGAGUAUUGUGUGAUAUCUAUUUUAAAGUUUGGAGUAGUAGAGUUCUUUAUAUGACAAUUGUUACUUGUAACAUAGUACUAAUUCUAGUUUUUCAUUGUUUAUAUGUACUUUACCCCUUUGGUAAGGUUCCAGAGAAGUUCUUGGAGAUCCAGAAGUUUAAGGAGUGAAGUUUGAGCUCAAAUUUGUGCUGUGCAAAUCGAGGUAGGGUUUGAUGGGGUGUUUGCUUUUUAUUGUGUUAUUGAAUGAGUUAUGUGGUUAUCAUAUGACUUGUUUGACAUUGAAGUAUUUAAUGUUGAAUUGCUUGACAUUGAGUUGUUUGAUUUGAUUUGAAUUAAAUUAAAUGUUCGAUGAUAUUGAAUUCUUAAAUCAAUUGUAACAUGUUUAUAUUGGAAAGCAUGUGUUUCCAUCUUGAAUAAUAUUACAUGAUAUUGUGGGAAAUAGUGAGAUUGGAGGUGAAAAAGAGAAUGAGUGUUCGGGAACAUAUGAGAUUUUGUUAUUGGAAACCCUUUUGUGUAGUUGAGUUUUCUCAUGGGGCAUCCAAGAUCCAGGCUAGCCCACACGUGCACAAGUUUGGGGAAUGUAAGCCCAUUCGAUGGCAGAUAUUGAUAAAAUGAUAUUAUCAGGUUUCGGGUUUAGAAGACCAUGAUUAUAACAAGACGACUAACAAAUCAAAAAAUUGUAUUUGAUGGUGAUGUGAGGUAUGGGAUGAGAGUUGAGUUUAUAUUGUAUCCAUGCAUUCUCGAUAUGUCAUGUUUGUUUGUUUUGACUACUAUAUAAUGUCAUUUUUUAUUAAUAUAUUAGCUAGCUCUACUGAGUGUUGCUCACCCCUCAUCAAACCCCUUGUAGGUGUGGUUCUUGAAGCGUAACAAGUGUUAUAUUGUAAAUUAAAGCUUUCAAGUUUUUCUUUUGUAAUGAAUAAAGAAUGGACAUUUUGAAAAAAAAAAUGUAAUUCUAGUUUAUUUGUAUCUUUUGUAAAUGCUUUAAGCAUGUGUGUUUUAAGUGCCUUCUUAUAAGGCUUGUAAUCUAAAUAAAGGUACGAAAGUUGUUGUUUCUUACGUCAUAUUACGAUAUCUAUCUCAUUUUAAUUAUGGAUAUUAAACUGUCUGUAAUUAGAGUGUGAUUCACGCCUUAAUUCGAGGUUAGACCUCUCCUCAAGUUGGGGUGUGACAGAAUACCUUAUUUUCUUUUAAAAUUGAGGUUCCCAAUGUCAGAAUGAAAAGAAUAGAAUGCAACACGAGCUUGGCAAAUUCACCCAAUACCCCUGAAAAUAACAGUUUCAAUAAAUUUACGAUACACGAUGCACGUGAGUCAAUGAAAGCCUGAUCUUGAGUAAAACAAUAAAUGCCAUGAAUUUUUUAUGCUAGAAUGGUUUAAAAGAUGUUAAGAGGUGUCUAUAAGCAUAGUGUCUAUAAGCAUACCCAAACGAAAAAAAGCCGAAGGUCUAAAAAAUGUGAAACUAACCAGAAACUCGUUUGCUAUAGCAAGAGGUUUUGGCUCGAAUUUGGUGAAACUUGAAAAUGAGGGGCAAUACCUCAUUUUCUUUAAAAAUUGAGGUUCCCGAUGUCGGUAUGAGAAGAAUGUAAGUCAACACGACAUUGGCAAAUUCACCCAAUACCCUUGUAUAGUCUUAUUUUCCUGUCAACAAUUGGUUAUUUGGAGGUAUACACAGAGGCAUCCAACUUAUUUGGAGGUAUUAGCUUAGCGGCAUAACAGAGGCAUCCAACUUAUUUGGAGUUCUGUGUUAUCUUAUUUUCCUGCCUGCGAUAGAUUCAUGUCUGCAAUUUGUUACCUAAAACAAUGGCUCUAAGAAUUAUUUGGGGGUGUAUUAUCUUAGCUUGACAGAGGCAUCCAACUAAGAAGAAAUUAACACAUUUGCUCUCCCUCAACAUUCUAAAAGAAAUAGUAAUGAUGUUUGUCAAAUCGAUUAUGCGUCCUUGCCUCACAGAUUACUCUGACAAUUCCAUACAGAUUAUGAUCAGACAUUCUUUUAUUAGGUUGGAUUACAGAAAGUAGUUUGCUUCAGGUUGCUCUUGUGCAUUUUUACUGUCAUUUUUGCAGCAAUACAUGGCACAUCUUGAAUCUCUUGGAAAACUGAUGGAACUGGCUAGAGAUACCUUAUACCAGUAUCUCUAUGACCUUCACUGCCAGUGGUAACGUUCAAAGUAAAUCUGAAGCCAAGCCUGGAUCAAGUCACAGAUUCCAAUUGAUGAACAAACUUCAUGUAAUCCAGUUUGUAUCCCUCUUUCGUCGAGCUCAGUAUAUUAGUAUCACCUAUUUUGAAUGAGUACAUUGCUAGAUGAUGUGUUUUGCUGCCCUCAUAAUCUAUGGCCACUAGCCAGUUUUGUAGUUUCAGACCAAUUUACAGUGAAGAUCCAUUGUUGCGAUCUUUUAUUUGUUAUUGUGCAUCCAUUCAGUGGGCAGUGUAAACAAAAUUCAGUCAGGAUUUCAUUUUUGGGAGUAGCAUCAGCUAGUAAAAUUUCCGAAUAAAGUGAUCUGAGCAGUUGUGCCCCUGGGAAAGGGAAGAAAUAAACUAGCAGAAUUAUAGGAUUAUCUAUAAAUCAGUAAUAAUAUAUUGGUCCUCAGAACUACGAGAUUAAGCUUAAUAUAGGUUCUAUAAAGAGUCUAUGACAUUUUACUUCUCGCCAUUGACAACACAAAGAAAUUCCAGAGGUUGCUAAAUGUUAUGAAUUAAUAAGAGACAAUAGGGAGGUUAUGGUCCCAGUGAACAUGCAUAUUUAUGUCAUCCCCAGAUGGAUAGCCCAUCUUAUCAGAUAAUACCAGAUUACCAUAGGUAUGGUGCUGCAGCUACUGCGGCAAUCUUCUAUGACACCACAUUAAUCAUCUCUUUCUUUUGCGCUGCAAUUCUGUCCUUCUGCCAGGGUAUACAAGCACAGAUCACUUAAUAGUUGUAGAUUUAUUUCAGAGAUUUAAGCACAGAAACAGUUUAUCAUGAUGAUAAUGGACUUGGCAUACUAAAGAAAACUGUUAACAACCAACAGGCAUCUAAGUUGACUAAUGACUCGACAAAACUUACCUCGAGGUACUUUCCUUUUACAACGACACACUGAGAAGCACUCAUGCUAUCACUCUUCACCAGGCUAUGAGGACUAUACUGCCGCUUAUUAAGGCCAUUUUGUAUAGUUGAUUCAUUUUCACCAACAGAGUCUGUUACUUCAAACCUCUGGGACUUUGGAGGACUCUGUAUAGCCGCACGACCUGCUGAGAGUGUGGUGCUCUUUUUAGAAUUGCCAUUUUGUUCCGUACCCUCAUCCAUGCAAACUCGUUCUCUAUAGAAAAGAACGGCAAAAAUCAUAUCGAUCAUACAAAAAAUAUGAUAAAUGAAAAAAGCUAAAUAGCAUUGAUAAAAAGAAAAAGAAAAAAUACUACAGUAAUUUGUUCAGAAGUACCUAGGUAAUGAAGCAUGCUUCCUUUGCAGUGCAGUGCUUCUGUCGCCUUUACCAAACUGUUCCUCAAGAUGUGCAAACUGUCGUCUAAAUCGAUCAACACCACUGAUACACAGAAAAACUAUUUACUUUAAUAUGUUUUGAUCUCAGACAAGAAGUUUGAACCUAAAAGGAAAAGAAUUCAAGAUUUGAUUCCAUGAAUGAAUCCUCACUCACAGACGUGAAAGUUGAGGCAGACAUCAACUAAUUGGUCUCGCUUGACAAUUUUAAGAAGCAGGGAAUUAUUGUUAAAAGUUGGAACUGAGGAACAAACUAGAAGGAUGAAAGAGUUCCAUCCUCACAAGAAGAAUGGCCACAAAUAAAGCCACACAAUCAUAAGCAUAUACAUUGCACUUCCAUCAUCAACACAGUUAGUUCUGGUAAUAAAUGCUGACCUUGGAUACAUGAAGCCAAUAUUAUCUGAACCUUCAAGAUAGUCAUGUAGCAUCUUCGGAUGAUACUCUAAUAUCUGAAUGCUUUAGACCAUGAGUAGAUGGUAAGGAAGAAAUUACCAAUAAACAAGAAGCAAAGAAUAAUUUCACCUAAGAGAGUAUCAUUCACUGUAGUCAUACCUCUCUAUAAAUUAGCUCUCUAACAUCAUCUUUUGUUAGUUUCCUCUUUUCAAAAUCAAACUCGAGCUUUGAAAUGGGUUGCUUAGAUGGUUCAUUGUCCUUGUUUGCCAAUCCAUAAAAAUAUGGGUCUGAUAAUGCCUGUAAAGAAAGCAAUAACCUUUAUUAGAAAAUACAAAUAUACGAAGAUUAAUAAUGUAAAAAAAAAAAAUGCAGCUUUUGACUAUGGCACACAGUUCUUUCACUAAAUUGUUACCUCUUCAGCAGAAAUACGAUCUCUAGGAUCAAAUGCAAGUAAACGCUCAAGUAAACGAAGAGCCAAUGGAUCAGCAUUAGGCAUUUUUUGUGAGAGAGGAGUUGGUUUCUUUUUCUUCAUGUUACUUAAAUAUCUUCUGGCCUUUUCGUUCCGAAUCUGCAACAUAAAGAUGAUCCUACUUUGUUGGUGAUCAAGAGCUUAUGCAAGUCCAAAAGGAAAACAUUGAAAAAGCUUUGGAACAAUAUUCUUAUAGAUAGAAAAAGGCAACAAACCCUUGCAAUAGAUUCAGUAGAAGGAGUGCCAAGUAAAUCAGUAAUGAGAUCCAAUUGAUGUACAACAUUUUUCCCAGGAAACAAUGGUUUUCCUGUUAGCAUUUCUGCAAAUAUACACCCUAUGCUCCAAAUAUCAAUAGCAGGAGUGUACUGCAAAAUAGAUGUUACAAAAUGAUUAACUAGAUUCCCAAAUACAAAUUAUAUGAUAUAAAAUGAUUCGGUGUUGCUGACAAGUAGAGUACACAUUGUCCGGUGACACUAACAAACAGAACUAAAAGAAAAGUUCAUUACAGAAAACUAGACAUGUACUCUACCAUAUAGAACAUAAUUUAAUAGACAAGUCUUCUAUUAGAUGGAAGAGGCAAUGUUGCUUACACAAAUGUUAAUAACUGGUAUUAUUCAGGCACCUGAAUUUAUCAUAUGUAGAAAAUACGACAAUACCCCACUCCCCUAAUAAGUUAACGACAGAUAGAAACUGUAGGAACAAUUCAAAAUAUAACCUACUAAGAAUAGUUGUCAACCAACUCCUUAAGUGGCUCUAUAUGAAUGUAUCCAACAUUUGAGAUUACACGGUAAAUACCAUUACAUUCAAUCUAAUAAACAUAUUUAGGAGAUACCUUAUUAAGCAACAACACCACGAUAUAUCCUCAUGCCAACAAGAAAAGGCAGCUAAACUUUUCACAUAAUUACCUUGGAGAAAAAGGAACCACACAGUUCAGGAGCACGGUACCAUCGAGUCGCCACAUAAUCCUUUGAAAAAUGUGAAACAAAAAAGUAAGCAUUAACAAAUAGCAUUAGAUAAGGAAGCUUAAAAAGAUAAUGAUGGCAACAUUUCAAUUCACAACUUUUCCUUUCCAUAGAACAAAGUUCAACAAACACAUACAGUCCAAAAGACAGUUGAUGGGGCAUCACUAAAUGAUGGACGAGCAAGACCAAAGUCACAGAUUUUCAGUUUGCAGUCUGCAUUAGCAAGUAUAUUCUUUGGCUUUAAAUCUCGAUGGAAAACAUUUCCUGCAAAAGAAAAGACAAUCAUCAGAGACACGUAAUAUGCUAAACCAAAGGAAAUACAAUGGUACUGCAAAAUGGAGGUCAAACCUGUAUGUAUAUACUUGAGAGCUCGAAGAAGCUGGUACAGGAAAAACUGAUAAUGCUCAGGAGUGAGAUCAUCGUUUGCCCUUAUAACUUGAUGAAGAUCAGAUUCCAUCAACUCAAAUACAACAUAUAUAUCCUUGAACUCUCGUCUACAAGGGGGUAGCAUUAUAUGCUUUAUGUCCACAAUAUCAGGGUGGUGCAGUAGCCGAAGGAGCUUAAUCUCUCUCAAAAUGCGAGUGGCAUCAGAGACAUGCUCAAAGACAUCAUUGAUUUUCUUAAUAGCCACCUUCUCACCAGUGUGAGUAUCAACUGCAGAUGCAACAACACCAUAGCUACCUUUGCCAAUCACUUCUUGUAUCUCAUAUUGACUAGCCUCACCGUAUUCGGUGAAAAACUCGUUGUCAAGCAUAUUCUGAAUUGCAGAACUUAUAAUCAGUAAUCCAUAAGACGAAAACAGAUUGAAAAGUGCACACUUGAACUGAUAACCUCUAAGUGAGAAUCACCAGAAUAAUUGAGUGUAAAGACCAAAAACCAACAGAAGAACAAGGACUAAAAAGGUAGACCCUUUAUAAAGAAAUUAUAAAUCAGUACAAGAAAUAUCUCACAUCAAUUUGCAAAUCGUUCAUUAAUCCUAAACAGCAAUUUACAAAGAAUUUAACCUGUAUAAACAAGUAAGACACAGAAAAGUUCUGUACUUUCACAUACUUUAAAAUUCUAGCUUGCAAAUGAUAGGAACGAAUCUAAACAAAGUAGAACACAAAUAACUUACCUUUAACAAGAAAAAAGAAAAAGAAAAAGAAAAAGUUGGCAAGUAUAAGAAUCAGACCACCCAGAAUAUAAGAGUAGCCUGACCCUUUUCAGCUCUGAGAUACCUCCAACCAACCCAGAACCCAAAAAAGAAAAAGAAAAAACGCGUAGGAUCUGAUUCAAUACAUGAACCAACCGAUCACAUAUGUAUGUAUACAAGUAUGUAUAUAUAGAUAUCCAGCAGUGCAGAUUUGAACUUGUCAACAGAACAAACUGUGAUCACCACCAUAAAGUCAAAAACUUAAAUUAAAGGCAAUAUGGGAUAAUGAAGAGGUAAGGAAGGAUUGUAGAGAAGGCCAUACAUAUAUAUAUAUAUAUUCAUUUCACAAAAGACAACCUCACACUCCUCAAAAUGCGGACCUUAUCUUAUCACAAUACCAGAUUACAACACAGAAAAAAAAAUAAAAAUAAAAAUAUAAACUCGAUGAGUUACACAGUGUGUAAGAUGAGGCUGACCUUAUGAUGGUCCGUAGAGACGAGUUUAUGAUUGGUUCGUAUCGGAACCUUGAUGGGUUUCAGUCCACUCAUGUCAAGGUCCACCGUGAUCGUCAACUCUUCAUCCUCCUCCGACCACUGGUCGUUUGCGACGGUGGCGUUAUGGUGGUGAUCGGGGGAGGAGGUAGAAGAUGAAGAUGUAGAAGUGGAGAUGCGUUGAAACCAGCGAAUCAGGCCGUCCAUUUCAUCUGAGGUAAAGUGUUUCAAAAGAGAAUGUCGAAAAAGUUGAAACCUCUGUAGAGGUGAAGAAGAACAGUUUGACUCUGUGAAGUCCCCCCUGUUUUAAGCGUUUAGACUUGUUUGGUUUGGUUUUGGGUUUCUGUUGCUAUUAAUCUAUAUCGGUUUGGAAAUAAAGUAAUCAAUGAGUUUGUAGAUAUCUGUUGUGGGUUACUAAUUAUAAUUAUCGUGUAAUUAAUUUAUUAAUUAUUACUAUUACUAUCCGAUUAAGAUGCUAGAUGUAGUAGAUUAUUAAAGAGUAUAAACAGACAUCUGCCAAGCUGUUUCAGAAUUAUGUCACACUAGACAUGAUUUGGCUAUGUCGUGUCAGACUAUUAGAGCGUGAUUCAGAUUGGAAAAAUGUGAAGUAUAAUAUAUCAUAAGGUCUUGCAUCUCUUGCAGACAUUGCUAAUUUUAAUGCUCCAAAUUCUUCACUGCAUUGUUGGCUAUUGUGUAUUUGUGUAGGAUAGAAAAUUAGUGAGAAAGGUUUUGUUUCUGUGAUGAACAUCUUGAAUCAGAAGAGUAAUGUAACAUUUAUUUUCAAGAAAACAUCAAAAAUCAUUCGGCGUUUUAUACCUAAACUGUGAUCUUCCUGGUAGAGUACACAUCUCUAAUACCUUAUUGCAAAGUGAAAAGAAUGAACUAGAAUCUACUAAAGCAGACCUGACACUCAGUUUCUCAUUCUCGACUGUGUGAUUGCAGCUGCAGCAUAUCAGUUUCUGAGGGUUCGAGAUUUCCUCUGCCUCGCUUCGGUUUAGAGAACCUCAUGUUAGUUGCUUGGUUUGGGGGCUGCUGUUGCUUAGGCUUAGAGUGAUGCUGAAUAUCUGAGCUUGAUAGAACUGUCAGGGUGGUUUCUGUAUGUGGCUUUGGUUUAGGAGGUCUCCCAGGGCUUCGUCGCUUCAGUGGCUGCUCAGCGUGUGGAUUUUCAAGAGCACAAGGUACUUCACUAGUAGUACUUGCCUCCGUAUCAUAUAUAGCUCUAGACUUCCCUCGAUGCCUCUGAGGCUGCUUCUCAUUAAGAGGUUCAACAUCACACGGUAAUUCAGCAUUCGUACCUAAAUCCAUAUCAUUUUUAGCUUUUGAUCUCCCUCGACGCCUUGGUGGCUGCUCCUCAGGAACAUAGGGCACCAAUGCCAUAACUUUAUUAGCUUUAGGUCUCCCUGGACGCCGUUUUUCUUUGCCUGCUGUUUGUCGCUGAGAUUGUGGCUCCUCUCCACUCUGUUGUUCUUCUCUUUGAUUAUUGUGUUUUACUACUUCAUCUUCACCCACCUCUGCUUGAAUAGGUUUCCGUAUCAUCUCAUCUUUCUUUGCUUCUCCCUGGUUAUGCAAUUUUACAUAUGCUAGUACUGCCUUCUCCACCUCAUCCAUGCUUGGCCUCUGCAUUGUCAAAAAAAUUACACACACAAGGACUGAUGCUAUCAGCACUAACAUACAUACCUGCUAACAAUGAAAGCAACAAGAUGCAUGUAGCCACAAAUCAAUGCAAAAGAAAAAUCAAGACACAAACCAGCAAAACUAAUAUUCAUAUCCGAGCAGCAUUGUUCAAAGAUCAAAGUGAAAGUCAGAACAACGACACUAACAUGUUACAACAAAAUUUACUACAUUAGGGAAACAAGAAUGUAAAAGAAAGGCAUACGAGAAUCACAAAGAGUGGUACCUCAUUCUGGCCUUCUCCUCCUUCAAUUUCCUCUUCUUCAAAUGCUUCAUUAUUCAGCUUCCCUUCUUCCCUGCCACGCCAUCUAUCCCGGCCUCUUCUACCCUUCCCCGGCCGCCUUUUCCUCCUCGAUACUGUCUCAACAUCAACAGAACCCACAUCAUCACCAUCCUUAACCAAAUUAAAAUUGUACCUCCCACCAUCCAACACAAGCACCCCCAUCUCACAUUGCUUCUUCAAAUGAAGCCUCAACAUACCCUCAUGCGCCCAUGGCAAAUCCUCAUAUUCCUUUUUGAUAAAUUCUGAUAUGUUAACCCCACUCACCCCUCCUUCCUCAUUCAACUCCUCUAUUGCCCUCUGUAUCAUCUACAUUCCCACCAAAAAAAUAUAUCACAUUAAGCCAAUCACUUAUUUCACAAAGUUAAUCUUAAAAUUAGAUCACGUUACAAGAAUGGUACUUUUGAAGAAAUGUGUUUACGAAAAAAAAAAAAAAGUAACAGUGCUUUAGAGUUGUUGAUAUUACCAAGGCAUAAGGAGGAUGAGAGGGAGUGUAGAAACUAGGGAUGAGCUGCUGGAUGCGGCGUUCAACGACGGCGACGUUGGUGGCUCUGGCAGCCCCCGCACGUGCCAAAACGGCGUCUCUUAGCUUGCACAUUAUGCGUUCUUGCCUCUGUUGUUCGAGGUUUUGAGGACAAAGCUGAAGGGGUUGCUGAGGUUUUGGGAUUGCCAUUACGGAGAUUCUUCAGUCCACUGAGUGACCACUCCCGUUCACUUCUUCGAACGGGAUGGAUGAUUAUUGUUGUGGGUUCUUCAGUUGUUGGUUUUUUUUGUUUCCAACUAGGGUUUAACUCGUUCUGUUUCGAAACUAGAACUAUAUGACCAAAUCUUUGUCAUGAGAAUCUUUUAGCAAUAGGACUUUACCAGGUUAAAAAGUUAAACAGUAAAAAGGAAAUAAAUAAGACCCCUCUCUCCUCAUCUGAAGAUCAUUCUGAGGAAGUCAGAUGACGAAACAGAACACAUAUCUUAGUCCUCCUGUGGUGGAGUACCAAUAUCCAUUACCUUUGAAGUUGUAGUCCAAGCCAAAAUAUGAGCAGAAGAUCAAGUUUUUCCAACGAUAUGAGAUUACAAUGGAUUCAAAGGACAAGAAAACCUGUUGGCAUUUUUUCCAUUAAGCUUUGAUACACUGCAUUCUGCAAUCGCCAUUCUAGGCAAAACCCGCUGGAGAUUGGAGCAAAUAUGUCAUUCCACAAAGACUUUAUUGUUACAAAAUACCAACAACAAUGCAAAGAUCUAACUUGAAGUUCUCUCAUUCU